rnacentral:lncRNA from 1 species
AAAUAGUAACUAUUUAUCUUCUCAUCUUUUAAUUUUGCAUGUUAGAAAUUGUUUGAGGGAGAAAAAAGAACUAAUAUUGAAGAGGAAAAAUUCAGGAACGUAUAAAUUAAAAGGACAUUGAUUAUAUGUCAUUGAAUAAAGAGAAGAAGAGGGGAAAAACAAUAAGUAAAGAUUAAUUUUAAAACACAAUUAGUAAGGAUGAAGAAAAAUUUGUCACAUGGCAAAAUUAUUAGCCACCGUUUGGUUGGGGGUUAAGGGGUGGAAUAACCCCUUAACCUUCAAUUUAUACCCAAACACCACUCUUUUGGGGUGGGGUUUACUGCGUUAGUAAACCCCACCCCAAAUUACUAACCCCACCCCAAACUUGGUUAGUGCGGUUUACUAACUCCACUACCCCUCCCAACUUUAACCCCGCACGUAUCCCGAGCCCUCAUCUUUUUCUUCUUUAUCAAUCAUUAACCCCACUCCCCCUCCCAACUUUAACCCCGCACGCAUCCCGAGCUCUCACAUUUUUCUUCUUUAUCAAUCAUUAUCUUUUUAUCCCACCUACUCCAACCAAACAUUUUUUUUCAUUAUUCUAGACUAACUCCAACCUCCAACCAAACACAAAAAAAAUUUAAUACCAUUUUAACCCUGAACUUAAUUCUAUCUCUGGAAUAGCUACUUUUUCUUAACCCCGAAUCAAACGGGGGCUAAAAAAUUUAUAUAGAUUAAUAAAUUUACAUUCUUAUAAAUUGAGAAGCAGAAAGACCUCUUCGCAUCGCACGGGCGAGUGCAUGGCCCACCCGAAAAAAGUGGCCGAGCUCACCUGCCCAUCUUGCAUGCGGUCCACAGGUGACGCCCACCUUGUGGACCGCUGGCUGUGAGGGAGCCUCUCUCUCUCUCUCUCUCUCUCUCUCUCUCUCUCUCUCUCUCUCUCCUUUUGAUUUAUAAUAAUUAAUAUAUAUAUAUAAUUAUAUCUUUUUUUAUGUAAAUAUGUUGUUAUAUAAUAUUUAUUUAUAAAUAUAUAAUAAUUUAUCUUGGGAAUCAAUAAAAAUAGUACUUUUAUUUCAAUUAAUUUUUUUAUUUUGCAGACUUAGGGACCAAAAAUAGUACUUGGUUUUCUUUUGCAUAUCAAUUUUGGUUCCUAAAAAUUAUAAAUUUUUCACUUUAGUCCCCAAAUAUAAAAAUUUAACUUUAAAUUUUAAAUUCAGAAUUAACUUAACAAUUAUAAAAAAAGAUUUUUAAUUAGUAAUUAGAAUUUUGAAUUAUAAUUUGAAUUCAAAAUUUAAAUUGAAUUUUAAAUUGAAUCUAAAUUUUGAUUUCAAACUUUAAAUUUUGUAAAUUUUGAUUUCAAACUUUAAUUUUUUUAUUUUGAUUUUGAUAUUUGAAUUUGCAUUCAAAAUUAAAAUUUUAAUUUAAGGUGAUAUUAAUAGUUAUAAUAAUUUAUUAUUGUAUUAUCUUUCCAUCGUAUCGAACUUAUUGAUUGGGAAUCCUUACAGGUUCGAACUGCUCUCUGCAUCACACGGAAGGUCUGCGAUAAAUAAUAUUUAAAAAUACUAAUGCAUAAUAAAAAAAAAAAAGUGAUGCUAAUAGUUAUAAUAAUUUACUGUUGUAUUAUCCCGGCCGAAUCGUACAGACCCCUUAGCUAGUACUAUAUUAUAUUUCAUAAAUUUUUUGUACUCGCUAUCUGACAAUUUUUUUUUUCAAAGACACCAUUCAUAUAAUUUCUACACUACAAAUAAUAAAUUCAUUAUUUUAUAUAAAAAUAGUAAAAAAAUACUGACAGCAUAUAUAUUUAAAUUUUUUUGACAUAAAAAUUACAAAGUACAUAAAAAUAAUUUAAAAAUAAUUUAAUAUAACUUGAUAGAGCUUUUACUGAGUCUAUCAUUGAAUUUUUUUUAAUUUUUUACUAUUUAACCAGUGCUUCUUAAUAAAAUUAUUAUAUUUUGUCCAAAAUAAUAAAUUUGUUAACAAUAAUAUAGAAUUUGAUGAAAAAAUUAGCUCAGUAAUAUCUAUGGUAAAAAAAAAUAAGGUAAAAAGCGAAAAUAAAUCUAAAAUACAGUGUAUUAUUUGACAAAAGUUAAUAACGCAAUAGUGUUUCCGAAAAAAAUUAGUAUAAUAUAGUAAACAAAAAUGAUACUAAAAUGCAGUAUAGUAGAGUAUAAUUAAGCAUUUAAUUUUUAAUUUUAUAUUUCUACUCCUUUAAUAUAAUAUUUUUUUUUAUAUAAAAUUAUGUAAACAAGAGCUAAUAAAAGCUGUGCCCUUCUUCCGGACCAGGCUGGUGGGCACAGCAGACCGGGCCGUGCCUGCCCUGCCAGGUUUUCUCUGUUUUGGAUCUUUUGGUAAGCAAGCAGACAAAUUAUUAUAGCAAACUAUUAAUUACUCCAUUUCUCAGAUGCAAUCUCAUUUAAUCCGAAGCUGCGGACUUAAACAACACGCCCGAGCUUGGAUAUAUUACAAAUUAAGACAGCAAAAAUGAAGCAGAGAUUUAAGAGAGAGAGAGAGGAUAAAAUAAGGUACAUGCUACUUGGCGCACAAUAUCCCAAAUAUAUUAUUAAUAUAUUGACAUACAGAUAUAAAAGAAUAGUGUUUGCGAUUUAAUAAUUAAUAUUUAGAGUGUAAUAAUGAUAUUGUCAUGUUAUUAAUAGUACUGUAAGUGCCUUUUAGAUACAUGUAGUAGAACUCUAAAAAAAAAAAAAAUCUACAAAUACUAUUCAUGUGAUUUUCACACUUUUUCACUUUAGUAUAAUGUGGUUUAAAGUGUAUUAAUUUAGUGUCUCGUGGUUUUAUUUUUGUUUUUUUAUUAUUGAUUUUAUUAAUUUUUUUCAUUAAAUCAGUGACAAAGUUAAAAUUAAAAAUGUACUAAAUGAAUAUUCGAUAAACCGUAUCUAAAUUCUUUUUUAUAUAAUUUAACAAAAUAUUAACGAAAAACUGCUGAAAAGAUAAAAAUGAAUCCCGCUUACAUCCCACUCAUCUUAACAUGAUGCCUUUCAUUAGUCACAUCAAUAUUCACUUAGGAUGAAAAAGAAUUAUAGAAAAGAUCUAAAAUAUUGAGUCGUAGCGUCUUCAACUAAUCAAAUUGCUUCAACUAAUCAAAUUGCUUUUCUAGGAUUCAUUAAUUCCAUGUGACUAUAAAAAAAAAAAAUUUAUUAUAUUUUUUUUGAAAAAAAAAAGUGUUUGGCUGUAUAUUUUUUAAAAAUGUAUGCCUAGUAUUACUCAGACAAUUAAUAUUAAUAUAAUAAUAUUAAAAUUAUUUUGGCUUUACAUGUGUACUAAUAAUGAGCCACGAGGCGAGAGAUUCUCAUUGAAUCCCGGAUCUUUUGAGCAAGUGGAUGCCAUCGCGGUAUCAGUCAACGCCCGCAAAAUCAAAAUCGAACACCUACUGCGAGCAUUUGCGUGCGCCCCUCUUCAAAUAGGAAGCUGAUUAAUUGCGCCCCCCAUUCUUUCACACACGGGGCCCUCGCCUUCUUCGUCGCACUCGCACCAAUCUCGUUGCGACGAUGACCUGGCGAAAGCACGAAUCCAAUGGCAUCUCCCGAUCCAUCACCACCGUCGAAGCCCCUCUCGACUCCGGCGGCGCCCGCCUCCACGAGCUCGGCUACAAACAGGAGCUCAAGCGCGACCUCUCGUAACCACCACCACACAUAGUAGCUUUUUUAAAAAAAAAUUUAAUUUUUUUUCUUUUUGUUUUUGGGAUUCAUUAUUGGAAUUGGGAGGAUGUUGUGGCUGCAGGGUGUUGUCGAAUUUUGCCUUCUCGUUCUCGAUCAUCUCCGUGCUGACGGGGAUAACGACGCUGUACAACACGGGGCUGAGCUUCGGGGGGCCGGCGACGAUGACGUUCGGGUGGUUCGUGGCCGGCUUCUUCACGAUGGCGGUCGGCCUGGCCAUGGCGGAGAUCUGCUCGUCCUUCCCCACGUCCGGCGGCCUCUACUACUGGAGCGCCAGGCUCUCCGGCCACCGCUGGGCGCCCUUCGCUUCCUGGAUAACCGGAUGGUAUUCCUACAAUCUAUUAUUAUUGUUAAUUUAAUUCAUAAAAUUUGAUUAUUCUUUCUUUUCUUUUUUCUUUUUUUUUUCCUACCUAAAAAUUAAGAAUUUUAGUGAAAAAAAAAAGGUGAUAAUGGUGUUGACACUAUGUACUUUCUAAGUUGGGAAGGCCCUUAGAUCAGGGUGGGGUCGGCGAUCCAAGUGUUCUCAGCAUUUUGAGAACAUUUGGAGCAUCAAUUAGGUGCUAGGAAUUCAAUCUGGGUGGGGUCAUUGACAAGGAGUUGUUCCUUGUCGCUGAUCAAUUUGUGGGUGGAACUGAAGUUCAAGGAUGAAAUUUGGGUGAUUAAACCGCCCUCAUUUGAUCUUAAUCAUGUUUGCCAUUCAAUUUUGCAGCCAAUAAGAAAUUAGUACGGUUAUCUUCAAGUCGAAUUGAAUAGCCUAUUAAUGAUACUAUAUGUAGUUAUUCUUGAAGAUAAUAUAUUUAGUAUAGCUGGCAAAAUAAAGAGUCACAGUACCUAUUGUUCACAGUAUUGAUUAAAUUAUUUAAUGCUAUUAUUUAAUACUAUCAAUAGCACCAAGCUAUUUGUGCUAUUAGUUUUUUAGCCCUUGUAUUGAGAAAUGUGUGGUUAGGAUGAUGUCGGCCCUCUAGGGUUGAGUGAGUGGUUGGUUGAAUAGUAUAAUCUAACGGGUAAAAAUAACCAAAUGGUUAAAUUUAACGGUGGAAAACUCGAUAGCACUAAAUUCUUGGUGCUAUCGAUAGUAUCCCAGCUGGACUCAUAUAGAACUAGGCUGGAAUAUAUAUAUACAUACAUAUAUAUAUAUAUAUAUAUACAUAUAUAUAUAUAUAUAUAUAUACACACACACACAUACACCAUGAUUGGUUGGUUGACUCAAGGAUUACUAUCCUAAAUAAUAAAUAGAUAAGCUAGGAUAGAAAGCAUAUGUUUGUAGGUUUUUAUUAUUGGCUAAAGCAUGUCCAACUUUCUGCUCCGUGAGACCCAGAAGAUCAACUAACAAGUUGAGUUGGGUUGAGCCCAAUAAAUUGAGUGAGCCUGGACCUAACGGCAAUAGACUCAACAACAAACCUAACAUCCAGAUGGAUUGAGUUAGGACGAAACACAUGAAACGCUGUGCCUAGUACGAUGAGUGUGCCCUUUCUAUCGGCACGUUGUUUUGAAAUAGUUGGUUAACGCUUACGAUCCACAAUAUUCCAUUUAGGAAAUUCAACACACCCACCCUGCAUGUGAUGUAUGAAGCGAAGGCAAAUGUUGUCAAUCCGUGCUAAAUAUAUCUUUCCCUUAACCUUCUAUUUCUUCUUGUUGAUAUAUGGUGCAAUCAUUUUUGCAUGCUAUUAAGUAAAAUAGUUAAAAGUUAGCGUAAAAUGGCCAUGUUUAAAGUUCAGUUAUAAGCUCACUGCUUGGAAAAUGAUUGUUGAAGAUUCUGAGACAGGAGAUUAAUGAUGGUAAAAAUAUACAUGAGUGUGAAAUGCUUGGAAACAAAGAUUUGCAUGUAGGUUAAGCUGCGCCGUUCGUUGUUACAAAGGCCAGCGGCAAGUGAUGCUUUAAAUUGAAAUUAAAGCUCUACAGCAUGCUAUUCAUUAUCUUCAGCAAACUGCUGUCAUUUUUUCCAUUAAAUUAUGAUGUGAUUUGACAACAAUUUUCUUUCUUGGUUCUGCGAGAUUAGUAUUUAAACCAAACAUAGUAUUAUUUUUCGAGUCAUGUUUAACAAAGUCUUACCCUCAUGAACUCUUAAAUACUAAAUAUACGAAUUAUUAGUUGGCGAUUGAUUUGCAGAAACUUGGAUUUUGUUUCCCAAUGCAUAAGAGCGAGCUUCCCAAUAGCUAGAAAGUUCGUAACUGCUGGUUAAUAAUUCUUAAGAUGUAAUUUCUGAUCUACAAAGUAAAAAAUUUCUUCUCCGUUGCAGGUUUAACAUUGCUGGUCAGGUAAUUGACAAGUCACAAUUUUGAAGCUAAAGGACUUCUUUGCCUGAAGUAUGACUCUCUGGAGUUGAAAUAUCCUUUGUUAUAUAUAUAAGCUGUUAAAGCAGUUCUAUUUUGCAGUGGGCUGUCACGACCAGUGUAGAUUACUCAUUAGCACAACUAAUUCAAGUGAUUAUUCUAUUAAGCACCGGCGGAAACAACGGUGGAGGAUACCUAGCUUCUAAAUAUGUAGUUAUUGGAUUCCAUGGAGGGAUUUUGCUUAUUCAUGCCAUCAUUAAUAGUCUUUCCAUUACUUGGUUGUCCUUUUUCGGACAGCUCGCUGCUGCAUGGAAUGUCUUAGGUGACUCUCUCUCUCUCUCUCUCUCUCUCUCUCUCUCUCUCUCUCUCUCUUAUUUAGACUCAGACUCCAACUUGUUUCUUGCAGGGGUGUUUGUUCUUAUGAUUCUUAUACCAACUGUUGCCACUGAGAGGGCGAGUGCCAAAUUUGUGUUUACUCAUUUUAACACAGACAAUGGCGCAGGAAUCCACAGCAAACUUUACAUAUUUGUUUUGGGACUCUUAAUGAGUCAAUAUACAUUGACGGGAUAUGAUGCAUCUGCUCACAUGGUACAAGAUCUCUUCGGCUUCUUAUUAUCUGCUACUUUUAAUGUACUACUAAGUUUGGUGCAUUUCUCAACUGACAUAGGGAUUCCUUUUGUGCAGCAUUGUUACAACGAACUAACUUGUAUCAUAUUUAACAUUUCUUUCUUUUAAAUUGUAUCAAUUGUAUGUUAUGGGGACAAAAUGGAUUCUUUGUAACUUCGAAGUGUAGGUCUUCUCAUGAAAUCCUCCCUAAUGUGUUUUUUUCAGAUAACUUUUGCUUUAUUUAUAUCCUCUAGAAAUCUGUUUAUUGGUUGAGUUCUGUCAUGAUAUUUUGAAGCAUGAUAAUCACAUAGAGGUUGUACAGAAACUCAUAAAUCAACGUCAUUCACUGCAACUGUAACUCUUAAAAGAAUUCCUUUGAUGUGUUCUGUAUUUUCUGUGAAAGGUCAAUUCUGCAAUCUCCAAUUCUUUGAUGUAUGAUAAGAGAAGUUUUGUAUGAAAAUCGGAUCGCUAUGUGCUGCCAAAAAUUAGUACUUAUGAUUUGAAUCCUCUGCUCCAAUUACAAUGAAUUUGGAUCAUUUUGUGCUUCCACUAUUUGUUCUCUUAUAUUUUAUUACUUACAAUUUUGAGAUAGUAUUCGAAAAUGACCUCUAAAAUUUCUCUUGUUUCAGACAGAGGAAACUAAAAGCGCGGACAUAAAUGGUCCUAGAGGAAUAAUUAGUGCCAUUGGCAUAUCGAUCAUCGUUGGCUGGGGUUACUUACUCGGCGUCAGUUUUGCUGUAACAAACAUUCCAUAUCUUUUAAGCAAGGACAAUGAUGCUGGAGGAUAUGCGAUUGCUGAAGUAUUUUAUCUCGCCUUCAAAAGUAGGUACGGAAAUGGCAUCGGUGGCAUUAUUUGUUUGGGAAUCGUUGCCAUUGCCAUAUUCUUUUGUGGCAUGAGUUCCGUCACUAGCAACUCUAGGUAAAGCUAUCUCUUUGCUUACUGAUCUCUGGCACAUUGCCUCCCCUUCGUAGUCGUUGAAAGAGCGAAUUCUUCAGUAGAUUUGAUUCUACCGUUUGAUUUUGAUUUUCGUCCUAGCGAACUCUUAUAUAUUUUUACAAAUUUAGGAUGGCGUAUGCAUUCUCGAGAGAUGGAGCAAUGCCACUAUCGUCGUUGUGGCAUCAAGUUAACCGGCAGGAUGUCCCAAUCAAUGCUGUUUGGCUCUCUGCAUUUAUUUCUUUUUGUAUGGCUCUGCCGGUAAUGAAUAUCUUCUCUCCAUGUCCCCAUUCCCCAAAACCACUGAAGUACUUAUUUUCUGAUGCAUAUGACUUGCAUCUUACCCGCAUGCAAUCCCGAUAUAACAAUGGCCAUGAUGCUGCUUCCCAAUAGCUUAGUAUUUCUAGUUAUGUCACGAAGUUACGCCAUUUAGUCAUUAUUUGAAUUUAAUUCUGCUGCCCCGAAGCAAACAAGCACGUAGUCAAGCAUCUCUGUCCUUUACAAUCGAUUCGUCUGUUUUCUGCUUCUUGUUGCGAACAUCUUAUGCCUUAUAUGAUUACUUCAUGGCCUACUUAGUAGUAAGAUUUCUAACGAUAAAAUGAUAAGACAAAGGUUACUUUCUGACAACAUCGGAGGAUUGCAUGACAUCCAGCAUUCACAUUUUAGUUGCAACUGCAUACUUAGGUCCAUAAGUUUCCGUACUUUUUCUGCUGUCUGUUGUGCAUCAACUGUUCUGCAUACUAAUCUGCAUAACAAUUGCAGUCUCUUGGAAGUCUAGUAGCAUUCCAGGCGAUGGUGUCAAUAGCUACAAUUGGACUCUACAUUGCGUACGCGCUUCCUAUCUUUUUUCGGGUGACUCUAGCUCGUAAUACCUUCGUCCCAGGCCCGUUCAACCUUGGCCGCUAUGGAAUCCUCGUGGGUUGGGUCGCCGUUCUUUGGGUUGCGACUAUCACAGUUCUCUUCUCGCUGCCCGUUGCUUAUCCUAUUGCGAAGGACACCCUCAACUACACACCUGUGGCCGUUGGCGGCCUGUUUGUUCUCAUUGUUUCGUCUUGGAUUUUAAGCGCAAGGCACUGGUUCAGAGGUCCUAUAACAAACAUUGAUACUUAAGGGAUUAAUCGCGACAUUGUGUAUCAAUAGUUCACAGCAAAAUUUAUAACUUUCUCAAUUGCUCUCUGCUGUAGUGUUUCUAUUUGUGGUGAAUUGUAUAGUAGUGCUUUUCUAUUGUGAAGAAGAACCAAGUCGGCGAGAAUUCAACUAGUUCUUAAUCUUAAUGGUAAUAUAUACUAUUCUUAGCCAAAUUUCCAUGAGACUGAUCUUUCGGAUAACAUAGGAUGAGGCAUAAAGUAACAUGGUCUAACAACGGAUCAAAGCCAUACUAGUGCCUCUUUUUCCUAGCUCUCCUGUUGGUGCGUGUUAUAUUGUUAACUUUGUUUACAUGAUGCAUCAACUGUAGGGCUGUUAACAAGCAGAAGACAAGUGAGCUGGGACCAGCUAAACAUUGGCUUAAAAGUAUUAAGGACAGGUUCUUGUUUGGCUCGAGCUCGUGACUAGCUGGAAAAGCUUAGCUCGUGAUAGCUCGCACUUUAACGAGCCAGCUCGUGUUCAGCUUGUUAACUCGAUUAGUUCACCAAGCCAAACGAGCUUGUUUAUAGCUUGGAUUGUUAACGACUCAAAAUUUAAAUCUCAAAUUAAUUAAUUUAUAACAUUAUUAUUUUUUGCAUAAAAAAUUUAAUGUGCCAUUAGGGUUUGUGGCUUAUAAAUGAAAUAGAAGCCUAAAAUUCUAUCCGUUAGAUCUUAAUCUAACGGUUGUAAUUUAUAAACUAGAUGGACCUCUUUACAUUUGAGUUGGGCCAAAUCCAAACAGUAGAAAUUUGUAUUUUGCAUCUACAAUUGUAUAUAACAUUAAUUGCUUAUAUAUCCCUAAAAAUUUUGACUUUCUUUUUAUCCUUCUUAGAAGGCUAAUAGUAAAAAUACCUUUUUAAAAUUUCAAAGUCUUUCAAAUAUAUUCCUGAAGUUAAAUUUUGUUAGUGAAUUGCUACGAACAGUCGUUAUCGAUGUGAAAUUAUCAUUUUUUGUCCUUUCAAAUAUAUUCUUCCACUGUCACCAAUUUCUUAUUUACCCUCAAGUUAGAUGCAAAAAAAAAGUACUUUGAUUUUUUAUUUUUUCAAAUAUAUGCUUUUGUCGUCACUAAUUUUUCUUAUUUUCCUUUAAUUUGGGGACAAAAUAGGUAUUUUAACUAUUUUUUAAUUAUGGUAAAAAUUUAACUCUGGCUCAACCUGAGAUGACUUAACGGGCACUAACAGAAGGGAUAGUUUUAAAUAACUGAAAAUUAUAUGAAGGGUAUAUUUGAAACAAAGGAAAAUGAGAGGUAAAUAAGGUAUUUGAAAAGUUUUGAGAGAUAUAUAAGUAAUUAUCCCAAAUAUAAUAUAUAAUAUAUAAUAAUAUAAUAUAAAAAAUAUAUAAAUAUAAAGUAUAUAUAUUCGAAUUAUAUCGAGUCAAACAAGAACAAACUGAUCUCAACUUGUAUUCCGCUCGUUUAUUAAGUGAGCAAUUUGAUAUUAAGCUCCUUUUGAGUUGAAUACGACCUGGUUCGCGAACAGCGAACUAAAUUGUCAGCUCUAACAACCAUUUAGGUAACAUGGUAAGAUGCUCAAGCUGCACCUACCCUUUUUUCUUCUUCUUUUUUGUUCUGCUUUUCACGGAAGCUUGGUUCACUGAUCUGUUUUAAUCUCUCACAUCAAGGAGACGUGUGAUUCACAUUAUGCAAGUAAAAAAUGAAGCCAAAUUCCAUGCAUUUCUCGUACCAGAGUUUAACGUCUAAAUAUACAGCGUCUUAUCUUAAGAAUCUCUCUUUUCUUACUCGGUAGCGUGUCCAUUACAACAAGGAACUAGGACAUUCACCAUAAGUAGGGCUGGCAAACGAGCGAGCCGGCUCGCGUUCGACUCGUGUUCGGCUCGAUAUUCGGCUCGCUCGAGCUCGACUCGAAAUUAAAUGAGCCGAGCUUGAACAAAAUAAAAGGCUCGAAAUUCAUUUCAAGCCGAGCUUGAGUAUUGCUCGGCUCGUUCGAAUUAGGCUCGAAAAGCUCGAAAGCUCGAAUAUAUAUAUAUACAUAUAAAAUGUAUUUUAAUUAUAAAUAGGCUUUAAUUUAAUUUGGGCUAUUAUUGUUGGCCCAUAAAAUAAAUCCAACAAGUACAACCGUGCAAUUGAGCCCAACUCUAAAUUUACAUAACACACUCUCUCUUUCAGACUUUUACUGUUGCACAUAACCCUAAAACAUGAUAACAUUCAAAUUUUCAAAUCUCUAAUUUUUUUUCCUCUCUCUUUCUCUCUCUCUCUCUGACCCUCACCCAGUCAUGCAGUCACCCUAGUUCACAUUUCUUACAAUUAUUUUGUAUUUUGAACUAUUGAACAUGUUGCAUCAGAUUAUAGGUAAUGUUUUAUAAAAAUUAAACUAUUGAUUAUAUAAUAUCGAGAAUUUCAAUCGGCUCGUUUAGAGCUCGAGCUCGGCUCGACUCAAAAUUAGGCUCGCUCGAGCUCGGCUCGAAUUAAUUUCAAGCCGAGCUUGAGCCUAGAUUUAGGCUCGAAAUUAAUUUCAAGCCAAAUUUGAGCUGACAUAAGCUCGCUCGAGCUUGGCUCGUUUCCACCCCUAACCAUAAGCAACAAAAAAAUCAUGAACCGACCGUCCCUAGAGCAAGUGGCAAAGGAUUUGGUGGUUGGUACCCGAGACACAAGUUUGAAUUCUAGUUGAUUCACAUUUCUAGCUAAGUUUAUUUCUAAAUGAAAUAAACGAAUCGGGUAGCGUGCUACCUAUCUCUCAAACAAAAAAAAACAAAAAAAAACAAAAAUAAAAAAAAUCAUGGAGAUGUUCUACAAAACAAAACAAAAACAAAAACAAAAAGAACACUAGCACCGGAAACGAAAAAGAAAAACACUAGCACUGGAAAAGAAAAUUUUUUAUUUGUGUCCUAUCUCAUAACGAUGCAUAGUUUUCGGAUAGACAAAUUCGUAUCAUUGUAAUUUCUAAUAUUUUUAGUAACUUUGGGUCAUGUUCUAUCAUUUUUUUAACAGAUAGUAUGCUACUUCAUUCAUUAAGAAAAUGAAUUUAGCUAUAUAGAAUGAGCCAGCUAAGGUCUCAAAACUUGUGAAAAAUCAAGAAAAAAAGAACAGAAAACAGCAAAAAAGAAAGCUAAAAAAAAUCUAAAAAAAAAAGAACCAGAGUAUAAGCAGAAAUAAAUGGUAAGAACAAAGAGUGUAACAAAUGCCCAAGUCAUCAUGCUGUACAAAACUGUCAUGUUCUAUCAUUAUGGAAUCUUAUUAUUACGUCAUGUUCAAAACUAGAGAUGUCAACGGGUCGGAUUCGGAGCGGAUUUUUAAAAAUCCAAAUCCGAACCCGAUUCCAAACCAGAGAUCCGAACCCGAAUCCGAACCCGACGGAUUUUAAAAAUCCAUAUCCAAACCCGAACCCGACCAAAAAUUCGAAACCCGAACCCAAAAUAAUUAUUUCUUUUUUCAAUAUUUCAAAAUAUAUUAUAUUAAAUCUAAAUUUUUAAAAUACAAAUUCAAAUAUAACAUCAAAUUUGUAUAUAUAUAUUAUAUAUAAUACAAAAUAAAUUCGGGUUCGGGUUGGGCUCAGGUCGGGUUCGGGUUUGGGUCGGGUACAAUCAAAAUUCAUAUCCAAAUUCAUAUCCAUAUCAAUAUUCAUCGGAUAUAUCCGUUUCAUUUUGGUUCGAGUUCGGAUAAAAUUUCGGAUAUCCAUACCCAUCGACAUCCCUAUUCAAAACUACUGCUCUUUCUUCCUGCCAUAAUGUUUUUGCUGAAAACAAUCACUCGGGCAUCUUAGAGGAUGAUGAAACUAGGAUCAAACUCUGGACUUCUUGGCAAACCAAGUUAUAUAUCAUAGGUACUCGGUAGAGUUUUCGAUUAGGGAUCUAUCACUAUGAAUUUGUUAGAAAUGUUUGGACGAGCGACACAACGAAUUUUUAAUAGACGUAGAUAUGGUUGAGAAUCCUAUUUCUCUAGUGAUGUUCAGAAAUUAAAAUGAAAAGAACAAAAUCUGAAAUAUUCACAGAAAUCAACAACCACAAGACACUACAGGAUACAUAUAUGUUGAUUUUGCUUAGUGAAAAACAAAGAGAGAUGUUAUUCGUACACUCAAAAGUAAAGUAUAAAUUGUACACCCACUCAUCAAAAACUAUAAGUUUUUUAAAAAAUUUAAAUUUUUUUAAAAAAUUAGUGAGACAUAGUUAUUUUUUAAGUGUGUAUAUAUUAUAUAAACAGUAGUGCUCAAAAUCAAAAGAGUAACACUCCAAUGCAUGUAUAUCUAGUCAAUAAUCUAAUGAAAUGCGGUCGCUUUUGUGGUUGAUGAAUCCCAUAACUACAUUGAUAACACCUACAAUUAAACACAGGCACCUAAUAUUUGUUUAAGCGUCACAUAGAGGUGCGAUCUCAAACGCUCGAUCCCAUAUCACACCCAUUCCACUCCGCUCAUAACACGGAACAUCUCUCUCCUCCAAUCACUGUUUGCCGCGUAGCCGCUGUAACGUGGGGCCCACACCUACUAUUUUUACCUGCACUCGGUGUCCGGCGCGAGCCGUGCGCCCUGCUCCCAUCGCCCUCCGUUCCGCAUCCUGCUUAAAUCCUCACCGCUCUGAAGUUACAGCUUUUCUGACAUGGUGCACAGGGUGCAGAGGUUUUUCUUUCGGGGGGGUGGGGGGCGAAAUGGACCUGACGUGAAGGUGAGGGGGCGAAGUUAGUUAAAGGUUUGAAGAGGAAGCAAACAUAAUAGCUAUCAACCCCAUGCACAUACACAUUUAUCUUAUCUUUUAUAAGAUGUGCAUAGUUGGUUAGCUCACGAAGGUCUAAGCCUUUGAAGCAAAGCAACAACUCCACUUCUAACCACAGCCCCCUUUGGACCUCGCCAAUCACCUUUCGACCGGGCCCAUAUAAAAUAUAUAUAGCAAAGAACACAACUUCGUUUUUGUGUGCUUGCUAUCGUAUGAAAAAUUAAUUUGAAAAGAAAUAGUCCGAGAUUAAUUUCGAUCAAUACCUUUUCUUACGUGCGUAGUAGAUAUCAGUUGCAUUAUGUCCUAUAUAUAAACUAAAAAGUAAAAAAUUCAAAGCCUUGUAAAACGAAAAAGACUUAGAACCAGCUCUGAUAUCAUGUUAUUUGAAAGAUCAAUCUUAGUACUUAUCAAAUAAGUAAGUUUCCAAUGUGUUUUAGCCUAGCUGUGUAUAACGGACAUUCUUUACCAAAACCAGACUUCCAAAGUUGUGCAAGAAAAUUUUGUCAAAUAAUGUAUAGUUUUCGGCUUGAAUUCACCCUUAAAUUGAAUCCGUUGACUUUUGAGUAGUUACUUAAUUGGGAGGUCUUUUGAGGUCACAGUCAAACGACAAGGGUCUUUUAAGUUGCAAGGUUAAUUAUACUAGGUUAUUUUUUCGGUCCGAAUACAUCGGUUUCUAUAAAAGAUUUAUGAACUAUCUCUCAAAUUACAGUAUGUUAAAUUUUAAUACAUAAGUUUGAGUUUAAUUAGAACUAUGAUUUAACAAACUCUUUUCGUAGAUUUUCGUAGGAUUUGGCAUGUAUGAUAUCAAGUCCAACCAAGCCGAGUUUCGGGCAUCCUAUUUAACCUUAGUCUUGGUUCGGACACAGUAUAGUACUAACCUGUCAAUUUUAAAUAAAGAAAAAGAAAAUAACUUAGGAGAUCAUAUAAUGCAUUUUCGGUCAUAACAAUCCUAUUCCUGUACUAAUUAAUGUGGGAUGGGUUAUCAAACAAAAAUUUGAUGAGACAGCUCCAACAUAAGAUUGCUUAAUCAAUUGCACGUGAAAAUUAUAAUGAUCUGAUAAUAAAUAGUGCAAACACAAUAAACCUACAGGAUUUUACUUUUUGCACUGUGAAAAUAGUCGAGAUCUAAGUUAUGAUUUGCUACUCUCUGUCUCUCCCACUCCUAUCCAAAGGUGUAAUUUCAUCUUUCCCCUUUGGGAAAGGUUCCUUCAAGAUCAUAAAUAGAAUAGCCAAUUUCCAAAGUAUUAACUAGUUGGAUUUGGUCUUAUCAUGAAUUAAUGGCUUGUUACUAUUGAAAGGUAAAGUUGAUGGGAGCAGGUCAACAUCGUAUAGUUUUCUUAAUGUCUCUUUUACGAGUGACUAUUUAUCCAUAAAUUUACUAAUAAGAACUAGCACAUAUCCAUUUCUACGAGUUUCCCAAUUUAAGUUUUGUUAAAAUUAAUAACUUUAAUGUGACAAUAAUUGUUAAAAAAAGUUUAAAGAAUUAAUAAAUAGAUAGUAAUUAAAUGAGGACAAAAUCCUGAGUAAUGAGCUUUUUAUAAAUUAAUUAGUAGUUUAUAAAAAAAAUUUAGAAUAAAUUAUCAUAAAAUACACACUCAGCAAAAGUAUUUUUAAAUUAGGAUAAACUAUCAUAAGACGCAUACUCAGCAAAAUAUCCAGCCCAAAAAAAUUCCUAUAUUAUGGUAGAGAAAUGGCCUAGGAAUUUUUGUAAGAACUAAAAAGUAAUUUUUGCAAAAAAAAAAGAAAAAAAGAAAAAAAAAAAGAAACUUUGAAAACGAGAAAUAGACUAAAAGCUAUUUACCGAACUAUCUUAAAACUGCUCAUCGUAAAGGAACUAAUUUGAUAACUUUUUGUAAGAAAGCAAAGUACGAGCCCAAUUAUAUCCGUGAUGCGCUCGCAGGGAGGGUGAGAGGUCAAUCAGAGCCGCUCGUGUCGUGUGGGCCCCACUUAUUUACCAUGGGUCGGGUCCCACACGUCAACCAUGUGGGAGAAACGAGAAUGAUGCGCGAUGAUGAUUCGUUGAAAUUACUGAAAAGUACGAGCUCGGCGCUGCGCUGCAAUACGGUGUUUGAGGGCAAAAUGGUAAUUGAAUUGCCAUUUCGUUAACGGCCACGUCAGCCUCUCGUUUGGUGUCCCAAAUAUAUUGUUAUCGUUACAUGAACUUGGUGCGUAGUUAGUUCUCGCGGACCGAACUUCUUUCUGCCCUUAUCCGACCGUCCAAUUUUUGACGAGAGGUACGGAAGAAAUUAUUUAACGGUUAGGAUUAAAAUAUGCGACGAGUGGUGCACGAGAUGGACAAAAUGAACCGGGUGCACGAUAGUUUGGGCCAAUAGAAAAGGGGAACGGAGCUGUGGCGCGUGGGGGUCCAAUUCCGUUACAAAUGUUUGUUACUAAUUCGAGUCUCGAGGUGGCCCGGUCACCUUUUGAGUGAGCAUGCUCCCUCCACUCUCCACUAUAUAUAGUCCCUACUCUCCCCAUUUGUUUGAAGCGUUCUCUCUUUCUCUCUCUCUCUCUCUCUCUCUCUCUCUCUCUCUCUACCCUUCACCACCUCCUUUUCCCUCUCUUCGUUCGCGUCUCCCCUUCUACAGAGCGCUCUCGACGCAGGUGAGCUCUCCGAGAUCUACGGGGCCAUUGCAUUAAUGAUUCAUCGGAGUUGAUCUUUUUCUUCGGAUUUUCAUCCAUUUUGGUUAAGAAUUCGUGUUUUAUAUAUAUCAUGAUUUUUAGCUGGUUUCUUUCAAUUUAGUGCUCGGAUUACACUCCGGAGUAGUGAUUUGAUCUGCUAGAUGGUUUCUCGAACACUAAUAAAUGUUCAAUCGGAUCCACUGACUUAAUUAUGAAUGCUGCGAUGAAUAGUUUCCUGCUUGGAUCAGUGGAGAGAGCUGAGUAGAUGAUGGAUUUUUUGAAUUUUAAUCUGUUUUUAGUACGGAUUUAGUUGAAAAACAUCUUAUCUCAAUGCAUUGGAGCAGAUGGACGAGUUCUUGAUUUGAUUUUGGCUUUUUUUUUCUUUUCUUUUUUUUUUUUGCUAGAUCGCCCUUUGUUGAUGCGUCUAAUUCUAAGUUCAAGCUCCAUUGUUCCAUUUUUGUCUUCUUCUUUAUCUCGGAACCUUAGAUCGAUGAUCGGAAAUGUGUAAGAGGCAUUAGUUCUCGCAAUGUGUCAUUUGAUUUGUUUUUCUAGUUUCCUUUUGUUUCUACAAGCUUACUCUGCAGCAGAUGUGUUGCUUGGAUAUUUUGCGGUAUUUUUCUUAGGGUCUUCUUAAUAUGUUUUCGUGCUGUUAUCAUAGUUAUUGCCUUUCUUUACCUUGUCAGAGACGCGACCUGACACGAUGCAGCAGGAGCUGGUGCGUCCCACCAAUGGCGACCGCCGCAAGCCUACGAUCGGAUCCGGAGCGUUCGCCUCUUUAGAUCAACGGCUCUCGUCCCCUCCUCACCUCACCAACGGCGCCGAUUUCUUCUACCCGUACUCUUUCUUCUACCCCACCGAGGACACCCCUCCGAACGGUCUCUCCUCCCGCUCCGCGGCGCGCUCGAGCGGCAACCGCUACGCCUCGAACCGCAAGAGCGCCGCCUCCCGGAGCCGGAGCAGGCGGCGCAGGACCUCCACGCUCUUCGUCUCCAGCAUCGCGAGGGACUAGAGGACCAUGACCUCGCACUCUGCGCGGUCCAUUUCCGCCAAGAGCCACCGCCACCCCACCAGCAGCAGCAGCGGCAGCUUCCUCCGCCUCCUCCCCCUCUCAUUGUGCCUCCGCCUCGGGCCCCGCCCCCACCCGCCCCUNCUGGCAAGCCGAGCCCCCGCAUCCCGCCGCCCCCGCUCGUCGACGAGUUCCGCCGCCUCGGCCUCGGGGACCCCCCCGCAGAGGCGAGCCCCACGAGCGUGUUGGGGUUCCAGGACCCGCAGAGCAGGGCGGCGAAGGCCGCGGGCGCCGCGGAGAAGCGCGUCGUGCUCCCGAAGAGCAUCUCGAUCCGAUCCAACGGCUAUCUGAAGCUGAACCAGAACCAGGGGUGCGUCGGCGUCGGCUCGGGCACGAACCGCAAUGGGCGGCUCCGCGUCCCGAGCCCCGUCAGGGCAGGCACCGUGAGUCCCCUUUCCUGAUCCCUGCUAUAUAGAUAUAUAUACACACACACACACACACAUAUACAUCAUGAUCGUUAUAUCAUGAUCAAACGGCUGACACGAUUACGUACGUUUGGUUACGAAGCAGCAGCGCGUGUACGUGGGAGUCGGGGUCGGCAAGAGGGGAGGGGAGAGAGAAGGGAGAGGCGAGAGGGAGGACGGGGAGGGGGAGGGCGAGGGGGAGGAGCCGGGGAAGGAGGGAAUGGAGUUGGAGGUGUACAACCAGGGGAUGUUCAAGACGGAGCUGUGCAACAAGUGGGAGGAGAGCGGGGAGUGCCCGUAUGGGGAGCACUGCCAGUUCGCGCACGGCAUCGGCGAGCUCCGCCCCGUCAUCCGCCACCCGCGCUACAAGACCGAGGUCUGCCGCAUGGUCCUCGCCGGCGACGCCUGCCCCUACGGCCACCGUUGCCACUUCCGCCACGCCCUCUCCCCCUCCGACCGCCUCCUCCUCCACCCUUAGACCUCAACUCCAUCAUCAACCAUCAUCCGUAAGCAAAUCACUCUCAACUCUAAAUUCCACCCUCACACACGCACACGCACACGCACACGCACACGCGCACGCGCACCCGAAUAGAAUAAAACAGUAAAUUGCUAAAAUGUAGGAAAGAAAAACAGAGGAGGGGGUUAAGAAGUGUGAAUAUUAUACAGAGAAGACGGGCCAUUCCUCGUGUGAGAGCAUUGCGUACUCUGCUGGGGUAACUAUAUUCGUAAAUUGCGGUGUAUAUUCGUUAAAUUCUUGUAAAAAGCAAAAAGGGGAUAUAUAAUGUAGGCAAUAAGUUUGUCCUGAGGGGAAAACCUAUUGGGGAAUAAGGGUUAGAAUAUUGGGAUUAAAAAGGAAAAAAAAAAACACUGUUGGGAUUAUGUUGAUGGGAAGUGGGUGAAACCGUCCAUGGGUAGAUUUGUUAAUGGAGUCCUUUUUCCCCCCAUUAAUUUUGAUUACAGAUUUACUUGUGGCUGGAAAUAAAAAUGUCCUGUUAGUUUCUGUAGAGAGGGUGAAGGCAGGCUUUGUCACACUUCUUUCCCUUUUAACUUUUUUUAGUAUAUUCUUACAAAUUCUUGUAGUGAGUUUUGGAUACAUGGAUUCCAUUUUUAACAGAAGGACAGUUAAUUUCUCUCUUUAGAAAUUAUUGCAUGGACUGUGCUACUAAUCCUAUCAUGAAUGUUUUAAAUCAUAUUUAAUUUAUAGAUAUAUGUUAUACAUCAUUCAAAAAUUUGUAAAAGUUAUAAAUUUUAUACGUCUGAUUCUUAUAAUUAAAUAUUAUUUUUUGCACUGUUAAUUCUUAGAAGUACUUGAUAUUUUAAUAAUAAUUUUAUGAUAUUUUAAUUAUUUAUAUUAUCGAUUAAAUUAAUCCUACUUUUACAAUAUUAGUUAUGUAGCACAUGAUGUACAAAUGCACGGCAUAUGUGAAAUAAUUUUCUCCUCUUUCGUGCACUGCCCUCGUCUAUCGGUGUGGGCGCAUUGGGUGACAUGAAAAUUUUGCAGCACUCUUCUUAUUUCUCGUCAUCUUUUUUCUUUCUUCUUAUUUCUCCUCAUCUUUUUUCUUUCUUUUUUUCUUUCAAUUUGAGGAGAGGCUGAUGAGCGAAAAUUAGUUGCGUUGGUAAAUCUUAGCCGUGCAAUGAAUAAUUCUGGUGGCUUUACCAUAUGGCUCUACAUCAGAUGUAUAGACCAUUCAAUAGCAUAGCAUAGCUUAAAAAGUGUAGAAAUGGUUCCUUAAUUUUACUAACACAAUCGACAACAGUCAACAAACUUACAGGCCAAAAAAGCACAAGGCACCAUACAUAAAUUCACAAAAUUCAUACCUGCGGUAAGUUAACGUCAAAUGGACUAGACAUACCCGAUUAUCAUAUAACACAGUCCAAACAUGACUGAAAAUUACAGAGUAAAACUUCAACUCAACAUGACAUGAACUAGACAUACCCGAUUAUCAUAUAUUACAUACGGGAAGCUUACAUACAUUAUGUUCAGACAAAUUUUAAUUGAUCUGAUGAAACCUGAGAUGACAGAUAUUACAUCUUAUAGAUAAUUACAUUUAAGGCCAACUUACAGAUAUCUGCAUCUUUGAACGUUUAAGGCCAACUUAGAGACACCGCAUUUUUAGGGAAAUUCAAGUUGCCAUCUCCAAGAGAGGAGAGGGCUCUGGAGCCACUCAUGCCUGAGCUACCUCUGUUUUGGACACUCCACAGAAGGCCAUAAGCUUAUCCUCUAUCUGGGCACCCUCCUCUGAGAGACAGAAGCGCAUAUACUCAUUAUAGUCAUAGGGCUUGAAGAGAGCAGGGUGGUUUUCAUCCACGAGCUCCUCGGGUGCCUGGACCAGUUGGCUCUUUUGCGGGUUUGAGAAGAGCAUGACAGAGUAUCUCGUCUCUUCUCCGCCCAUCCAUACGCGAUGGAAUGGAGCAUAGACUCGGCCAUUAGUCCAAGCCUGAAUCAUAGCAAGUGCAGCUCGAAUGUUACUGAGCAAGAACAUGAGGCAUACAGCCAUAUUGAGCUGGAUGCAGAAAAAAACAAUCAACUCCACACUACUACGGCUAAAGGAAAAUCAGUGUUUUAAGUUUUUGUGUUACAGAUAGUAGCCGAGCCUCUUUUUUUUUUUUUUCAAUUUGCAUAGACGCUAAUAGUCCCUGUAAACAUCAAACCUUUUAAUUUGAUCUUUUGUUGACUCCUAGUGAAGAGAAAAUAGAGAGUUAGUAAGUUGAAUUAAUGCUCAUUUUGGUUAUCUCAAAAUCAGAGAUUCCAAGGCUAGAAAUUGCAUGAUCAAGUUAACUCACACAGCAGUAACAAACGCAACAUUACUCCUAGCAAUUGAGCGUGCGUGCAACAAAGCAUAUACCCUGAGAGCAUUGCCGGCCAUGACAACGAAGGAUGUCCGCGAAGGCUCGACAGGAAUCCAUUGCCCGUCCUUCGUUUGAACCUCUAAUCCACCAACCUGAUCCUGGCAUAUUAUAGUCAAGGUAUUGGUGUCUUGAUGAGAGUAAUACCCCAUUCGCUUUUCCUCAGUAUGCGGUGCUCCAUAUUCUGCGAGCCGUAGCAGGUACCACGUGGACUCAUUCUGAGCUUCGUAGUACUUCAACACACCCAGGCUCUCCAAUACCAUCCUACGGACCAUCUUCUCCAAAUCCGCAAGUAGUUUGGCACAAUUGUGCACUGUUUCACUUCUCAAUGUAAAGGAAAAAAAUAGUUUUAAGGUAGCAACAAACUCGCCUCUCGGUCAAGAACCAAAAUGCAUGGGUGGAUACUAGUACCGUUUGCCACCCAAUAAUAUUACUUGCUUUAAUCUUUAUACAUGUUCCCCUGCAAAACUUAUAUUUUCUACUCUUUACAUAACAGCUAUAGUUCGAGUAGAGCUAUGGUGAAAAAUGAAAAUUACCAGUUCAGUCCAGUACUUGGCCAAUACAGCAAGAGGGGGGGAAAAGUUGAAAUAAUUUCCAAUACCGUUAAUAAGUGAAGAAAAAACAAAAGCAUCCCCAACUAUUUUGGCAGGGAGGUGAGAAUCAUUUAGCAGUGUUUCAUGUUCAGAGGAUGAAAUUGAUCGAAAUUAUCGCGAAUUCAAUCGUGUUUGCUCUUUGAAUAUCAAAACAACGUUCGAAAAUUGCAAACUGCGUAUGCCCGGCCAAACUAAGAUUACUCAAAAGUUUGUAUUUCAAAUUCACACCACUAGUGUUAUAGCAAAGAAAAUUACUUCCACCCGAAAGGAAUUAAAAACCGAAACAACAAAGAAUGAUAAAGGCCUGUUUAUUUUACCGAAUGUGAAGUGCAGAUUGAAAAAAAAAAAUUUAGGUGAAUUAGAGUUGAGGUAAAAAUUAUUUUGUUUGGUAACGUAGGACUGAAGUUACUCUGGUUCUAACAAAUAUUUGUUUGAUAGAAAAUUAAUGACCUGAAAAAUAAAAGUUUUUAUCAUAUUAUUUUUUUAAAAAAAAAAAUUUGUUUUAAAAAAUUGAGUUUGGUUUGGGAUGGAUUGUAGUCACUUAUUAUCGUAUGGUAAAGAGUUUGAAUUUUGAUUGAAAUUAAAGUUAAAUACUUAUGGGCAAGGGGGGAGACUGAUUGAUUCGGAAGCGAAGAUUGUAAUACCAGAAGGCAGGGUUUCCAUUUGCACGGGGCCACAUGAGAUGGGCGAAGCCCCGCACGGCGUCGGGGCGCGGCGCGUCGACGAUGGCGAGGCUCUCGUAGCGGUCGAGGCCCGGGAGGCCGCCGAGGUAGCCGUGGAAGGGCUUCUCGGGGCCGAACGCGUUCCGGAGCUUCGCUUCGCGCGGAAGGGCGAAGAGGCCGCGCACGGCUUCCCCGAAGAGCGCGCGGCGGAGCUCCGCGCCCACCGGCGGGUACAGCGCCUCGAAGCACCCCACGGAAGUGAGCGCUGCCGUCACCUGCUCCCGCACCCAACUCCACUUCCGCCCCUCCGGACUCCGCGCCUCCACUCCCGAGAAGUCGAUCGUCGGGAAGCAGGAGUUCGGGUGCGGGCGCUGGACUCCCAUCUCCUCCGACCCCAUCUCUCUCUCUCUCUCUCUCUCUCUCUCUCUCCCUCUUCUUUUUCUCUUCUUUUUUUUUUUUAUUUCGUGUGUGGAUUUUUCUUUUGCCCUUUUCGAGCAAUGAGUGAGUGUGGGGGCCAGGAAGUACGAGAUUACACUGACAAAAGAGGAUUGGAGUUUACCUCCGAUAACUUUGCUGGUUGGAGGCAUCUGUUGUAGGAAUGUCCAUGCCUACAGAUAACUCAAUCUUUUUCAAAUCCGAAUUUAAACGGAGCAAAUUUAUUCGGUACUAAAUAAAUAUAAUUUUAAAUAUAAAUAUUAAAAUUUUGAUUGUAUCUGAUCCGGAUCCGAACCUAAAUUUAUUUUAUAUUGUAUAUGAUAUGUAUUUAAAAAUUUAAUGUUAUAUUUAAAUUUAUAUUUUUAAAAAAAUUUAGAUUUAAUAUAAUAUAUUUUGAAAUAUUGAAAAGAGAAAUAAUUAUUUCGGAUUCAGAUUUUUUUGGCUCGGAUUCGAAUUUGGAUUUGGGUUCAAAUUUUUGAUAAUUCGCCCCGAAUCCGAUCCAUUAACAACCCUAAUUCUUAUACUUUAAAUUUUACAAUUAGAGAUUUAUAAUUUAUUUUAAUUUAAGAAUAAAUUACAACAGUAUUACUACUAAAGCAAUUUUUACUAUUGCCAAAACAAAUAUGUCCAAAUUAUAAAUUGGUACAAUAUAUACGCUCGAGCUACGAUAAACCUUGCUCAGGCGAUAUCACUCGCCCUCUAAAACAAAAACUUGAUAGUUAACCUUACUAAAGUGUAAGCUCUUAAUUACAAGGACUAAAAUUGAUACUGAAACCAAACAAUAGUGAAAACUCCCCAGCUGAAGCUGAAAGUUAAGAACUAUUGACCACUCUUGCGAUAAAUUUGUGAGCUGAAGCCAAAAGCCAGAUUUAUUACUGAUCAUUCUUACAGCACAGCCAAACAAUUUUCAUUCAUAAGUUAUAAACUAAGGUCAGCCUAACCUGAUUACAUGGUAAUGAAGUUACAGAUUCAGGAGUGGGUACUAAAUAAUUAAGAAACUAUUGAAGAUUAGCCCACUGCAGAGUAGGCAGUAUACACACAUAAAUACAUACAUUUUACAUUAAAUCAUCUUAAAAAAUUGUAACAGCCCUAAAAGUACACAUUCUAGUUCACUAAUUUGGGGCGAGAAAAUGAACGCGAGCAAGAGCGUACUCCUUCCCUGCCACCCAAACGCCAGUUUGUGACCACUGCACAUCUUCCCACUCCAAAUUCUCCUCCAAUACCUAGAGUUACAAGAAAAGAGAAAUUUCAGAUAUUUAUAACCCAUAAUUAGAAGUUUGCUAUGUAUGCGGCAUUCAUCAACCUAUAAAAAAAUUGAACAAAUGAAGUUACCUCCAGAUGCUCCAUAGGUAAUGGAAUUCCAAUAGAACGCAUAAUUUGUUCCGGCAUUGCCUUCUUACAGCGAGACCACCGGAAUACAUCUACAAUAUUUUCCCGAUCCGUGGCGAUUUUGUCCCCAUUUUGUGUGUAUGAGCUAUGGUUUUGAAUCUUCUCGUGUACAGAAUCUCCUGUUUGAGAUGAAUUAUGUACUGCUCCACUAUGAAUCACCUUAUCUCCAGUAGAGCAUAGCUCAUACCUGCAAGGAGAUGGUUUUAAAAAGAAAAUAAUAAAAUACAGAGACAAGACCAAGGACAUACAAUAACUAUUAUUUUUGAACUAAAAGCUGUACUUCCUAUUGCAGUUGGGAAUCAAGAACAAAAACAAUUGACAAUGGAAACUCAUUUAAGAAAUGCGUAGAAAGUACACAAGAUGUUAUAGAGCCAAACAGCUCCAAACAAAAAGGGCUUUAUAUUAAAGCAGAUGAAUAUCAGUAUUUCUAGAAUGCCCUGUGUAUCAAAAUAUUAAUGCAGAGGAACUACUAAGUAAAGGCAUUUCUAGGGCCAUACCUAUUAAAAUGUGUCUCUAAGUACAGAACUUCUCCCUUCUUCAAUCUCGCAGAAGUAUAAAGAGGCUUCUUUAACCCCUUAUCAGCAACUAUGCUAAUACUGUAUUUCAACCUGGAACAAUAAACAUGAAACCAGGAGAGGAAAAGUCAGUACAUUUAGCGUCCAAGAUUAAAAGAAAGAAAGUCAACUCAUCAUAAAUGCACCUUAAGACAACACUUAAUGCAUAUAUAAAAAGGAAACUAAGAGCAAAUUAACAGCCGAGCUCCUUAGUAAAGAGAUAAAAUAGAACUUUAUUACUAUCUCCAUAAAAAAAAAUAUAUAUGAUUGCAUUGUUAAAUAAGAUCGCAAUCCCUUCUAAGCAACAAUAGGGAAAAAAUUAUACAUAUAAUUGCUUUAGACGUAGGAAUAUACACACACACACACACACAAUGAGUUGCAAAGUCUCAACUACUGUGAUCAGGUUAAAGUUGAAGUGAGUUGAUUGAUACUCAACCAAAUCUAAUUAGGACAAGUGCAACAUAAAUAUCCUUAUUUAACUCAACAAGGAAACAACAUAUAAUCUAGUCUCUUUUUCACCCAAUUUCUCUUCUACCCCGAAUAAUUUUGUUACUUGGACCAUGCAAGUCUUUGCAACCCAUAACUGUAGGUCUUGACAGAUAAAAGUGGAGAAAAAGAGAAGGAGAAGAAUACCAAUGUAAUUAUACUCAACUAACCAAAGAAACAGAAUAACAAGCUCACAUGUGUCAACAAGUACUAUCAAGUUAUCAAGAAUGGAAUUAUAUAGCACCUGUAGGUCACAGUUAGGAAGUUAAUGUACAAUGUAUUGCUUAUGACAAAUUAAGCAUUUGGAAACCAACUAACAUCAUUCACACAGAGCACAACAAUAUAGAAACAAAUAGAUAAUAUAAAUAUAAGAGCAGAGCAAAAUCAGCCUUACAAGAAAUAAAAACAAUGAAUAUGGGAGGAUAGAACUAAAGAUUACCAGGGCUCAUUGCAGAGGUUGUACUGAAUAGUAACUUCACGGACAAACCUCUGUUGACGCAAAGCAUUCUGCUUAAUGAAAAAAUGUAAGUACCAUAACUCGAGGAAUACAAAAAAGUACAAAAAAAAGGAGGUUAAAAAGAAACACAUGUUUAAUAAAGAUUGAGCUGGAAAAAACUAAGACAAGAAGAAAUUUAUGCAGUCAUUCAAAUUUCCACAAAAAGAAGAGCAGAGAUGUUCAAAGCUGCAACACUCGUACCAACAUUGAUACACACAGGAAUAAACAGGAUCAUACGAAACUGUAAUAUGGAACAUGGAGAAAGAGGAAAGAGAACAAAGGAAAUCCCAGGGUUUUUACCGAGGCUGCAGCUCUCGUUGUCAUAGUGCGCUCAACUGUUACAGGUGCAAGAGUUGGCUCCACUGCAGAUGUAUGGUUCAGACGAGGCUCGAGAUCAAUCGUCCCACCACCUUUCUGCCAAAGACAGAGGAUUAAGAAAAAACCAUGAGAUAACUAGUAAGAAAAUUAUUUAAAAUAAUCCAGGAUAGUAAAAGAAAGUUGAAUAAUCAUAAAAGGCGAAGAGUCAUAAAGAUAAUAUAGACUAAUUUUUCCCUGAUAAAUUAGAACAUAUAAAUAUAAUGGCAACAUGAACACUUUCAAGUGGACAUGAUCAGACUUUUGUUAUUAUCAAAUAAAAUGGCAUUAUUUUUUACUACCUUCACAAUGCAACAGCGCUCAAUCCGAAAACUACAGCCAAUACCUGCCCCCCAAGCACGCGACCGGACAUUGUUCCGUAGUGUUGAAGUGUAACCUGCAAAAGACAGGUAGCAUAUCUAAAACACUGAUACAUUUGUUACAGCUCCUUAAAUAUGAAUAAUAAAAGAAAAACCAACAACACACUAAUUAAUAAUGGAUUUGCUCAUCACUAGAAGACUAUAAUGUCAACAAAUUAUGUAGCUUCGGCCAAGAAGUCACAUUAGUGAUUUAUGAAUUAUCAUAUCAUAGUACUGAAUCUAAAUAUCAUGUAUUAGUUGCAGUAGACAUACAAUCUUGUGGAGGCAGAACUCGAACUGUUGCCCGUAGUUCUUGAAUGGCAGAAGGUGGUGGAGAUGAUGUUGGGCAGCAGUAACCGGUGUGCAUGAGUACUGAUGAACAGACAAAAAUAAGAACAUCACCAAUUAAGAAUGAUAAAGCAAAGCUUCAACAGGAAAGUAUGAAAAAGCAUGGAAAAAAGAUUGUACCAGCAACAAGAUCCGAAUCAUUUGUAUAUAUAUCUGUUCCCCACAGCUGGGCACCUUUAACCUGAAUAAAAUGACCUUAAUGACUAUAUUGAACAAAAGUAACUCAAAAGGAGUUAAACCUUAAUGACUAUAUUGAACAAGAGCAGCUCAAAAGGAGUUAAAAAUUUGUCUGAUGUAAUGGUUGUUUGCCAACAAUAUGGAUUGAUAAUUAAUACAAACAUAUAAAUCUGUUUCUUGAGUUCCCAUAUAUGUAAAAAUUGAUGGUUACUCUGGCAAUAUGCACUUUUAGCAUAAGGCAGCCAAGAAAUCAUGGUAAUAAGAGGCUUGCAUUGUCAGAUUUAACAAUUGACAUAUUAUCAACAAUAAAUAAUAUUCAUACAGCGCUUAGUUUCGUAACUCGAAAAUAUGUAAACAGAACUGAUACACUAUAGGCACAAAAGCACAUUUAAGACGAACCGGAAGAAAGGAGAUAAGCAUGUGUAGGACUUGAUUUACUUACUUGACGAUUUGUGGAGGUAACAUACUCUGCAGGUAUACGAAUUUCCAAAGUUGGACCAGAUUGUAAGGUUUCACCAUUUUUAGCAUCUUGGGAUGCUUCAAAUUCUUUCCAAGAUUUUAAAAGCUCUUGCAUGCAUUCACCGGCUUUAUAGACAAUCGCAGACACCUCAAUCUUACCUGCCAGAAAGGAAAACAGAUUGAAGAACAUAGAAAAAGGAACUAAAUUACUAAAUAAGGAUUCCACGUACCAAAAUGACUUUGCAUUCAUUUGUUUAUGUAGAUUUAUGAAAUGUAUUUACCUUCUUUUUAGGAUAUAAUAGUACUCUGUUGACAAGGUAAUCAUCAAAAGAGCAAUGGCUUCAUUUAGAUCCUUUAGAACAAUCACAGAUUUAUAACAUAAAUGGCAUAUCUUUCCCUUUUGUAACAUGAUUAAACAUUAUAUAUUUUUAGCUUAUGAUAAUGCAGGUAAUCUAUACACUUUGUGACUUGCAGAUUAUGUUCUAAAAGAGAAACAAUGCCUUCCACCAUGAAAGGUUUAUCUCGGUUCCAAACUUGAAGCGAGCAUUUCGACAAUCAAAACCUAAUGAGAAGUGAGGGUGCUGACCUUGAGAUCUGCAAUAAUGAGAAAAAAAAGGGAAAGAGAAAAAAAUAAUCAGCAAACGCCGAAGUACAAAGAAACAUCAAAAUAUGCUCUUGAGAGAAGUGCUCUUUCAGUCAUAUAUCUUCCAAAGAUGAAAGUUUCAGUGUAUAAUUGAAAAAUCAUAGGAGAACAAGAUAGAUAUAUUCAGGACAAAUAUAAUUUGUCAUCGGAAAAUCAUCGGCAGUAGGCAUCUGAACAAUGAAUAAACAUACUGUUUUGUUUCGUCAAAAAAGAAUGUGAAGAAAGUAGAUGCAAGGUGUAAAUUGACACCAAAAAGCAAGCCACUAAAGAAAAUGAAGAAAAGAAAGUAAAUGUAAGAUUUAAAAUGACACCAAAAAGCAAUUUGAAACAAAGAAAAUUAAGACUUCAUUCGAAGAGGACAAAACAAAGAUACUACUAACAGUUAUAAUUAAGCCUACAAACAUGAACUCCAGAGAAAUAAAUACAAAAUAAUAUCAAGCCAGCAUUCUAUGAGGGAAAAGUAGAGAAUGCGGGAGUGCAUGUAUUUAUCUGUUCUACGUAAGAUAAGUGUUCAAAAAUCAACCUAUUUGCAUUAUUGUAUGGAAAAUCAGUGCAUGCAUCACAGUUUACCACCGCAUUAUUCAUGCCCUAACAAACAUGAUUCAUUUCACAUCAGCCAAUAAGGAGGAUAAAACAAAAAUAGUAAUACAACAGUUUAAUUACAAACCAACAUGAACUCUAAAGAUACAAACUCAAUAUCAUAAAUUCAAUUAAUAAAGGAAACUGUGAACCUGACAUGUAACAAAAAAAAGGGGGGCAAAAAUAUUUAUAACCAAGCAUUGCACCAAUGAAUAAUAACCGGAAAACAACCAUUUUUGCUUAUCAGUGAAUGCAAAAUCAGUGGUUGCAUAAAAUCUUACCCCUCAUUAUCUCGUGUUCUAGACCGAAAACGAGGCUCUCGAUGAGGUGCUUGAGUCCCCCUUGAUCGAAGCAUUCUCCUGCGCUGCUGCUGUACACCACCAAAAACUUCCUUAUCCUUUUCUGUAUCACCUUCUGCACAGCCAUCGUCUGAUUCUCUUUCAAUGUACUUACUACGUUGAUCAUGUCUGACUCCUAGAUCGGCAUCCCUUUCUCUUUUUUUCUCUUUAGAAUCCUUAUCAGCCUUCCAAUUAUCAUCUUUGAGUCUCUUAGGUUCAGAUGGUGCAUUUUCCUGCUCAAGGUUUUUGGCAGUGACAUCAACAGAAUCCUUCUCAAUAUGCAAAUUCUCUUUCUCAUUCACAUUUGACGACUCUUUCUUAACAUGAUCCUUCUCCCUCUCAUUCCCCUCCUUGUCCUUCGUAGAAUCCUUUCUUUCCUUCUCCGGCCAAUCGACAUCUCUGUCUUCUCUCUGCAGUUCCUUGCGUUCAGCACUAAUACCACUAAGCUGCAUAUUGACUCGACGGUCAUUUUUAUCCUUGUCUCUCUCUCCAAAAUCUCUGUUCCUUUCAUCCUUCCUUCUCCUAUCCUUAUCUCUGAACUUCUCUUCGUUUUUCAAAUCAACUCUGUUCUCACCAACAGCCUCAUGAGCUUCCGCAGGACAACGCUCUUCAACUGCUGGGAGGUCCUUUGCAACCUCAUCUGUGCCUUGUAAUCCAGACCGUGCAAGCCGCCAUGAUUCAAAUCCAUCACUUGGAGGUUCAAAAUAUCUUUUACCCCUACCAUGAUGUUCUUUACUGUCUUUCCAGCUUAUAUAAGAACUAGUUGUGGAAUAACCAUCUUUUUCAGAUUUUAUAUCACCCUUGUAGUCAAACUGAGCAGAUCUAUCAGGUCUUGGUUCUUUUCCAUCCACCCUGCUAUCUAUCCUCACAUCAUUCUCGACCUUACUGGCUUGAGGAUCUAACCUUGAGUCAGCAUGUAUCUCUCUAUUCUCAGCCCUGAACUCCCAAUUUUCAAUCUUAGCAUCCCUUGGUUCUUUAAAAGGUUGCUCAGUGAAGUUGCUAGAAGUUAGAGGCAUCCGAUGUAGAAGAGGUGAUCUCUUAUCAUCACGGAAUUCAACUCGUUGGACUUUUGAAAGUCUCCCAUCCUGUCCGUGCUCAAAAGGAAGCUGAAAAUCAGUGCCAAGUGGCGGCAUCAGUCGUCCAGAAGGACUAGCAAACAUGCCGGUCUCUUCGUGUGGUCUUUUUACAGGUGUAGAAUGGGCCCCAUCAUCGUGGGACCUCUUUGGAGCGCCACUCAUACUGCCUUGGUGCCACAAGUUACCUGUUCAUCUGGCCCAGAGGAAGAAAAAGGGAAGCAACAGUAGUAGCUCCUAGGGCUUCGAUAAACAUUUGUCGGGAACCGCCUUUUGGAUCUUCAAAAGGGAAAAAAAUGUAAAAAACAAUUAAAAAGGGAUUAAUUUAUCCUGCAAACAAGAUGGAAUAGUCAGUAUGGAAAACAAAUGAAGUCCGAAAACCCUUUUGACUUUAAUACAAUUGCAAAUCACUGCUUUAGGUUAAAAGGUUGCAACUUAUUAUGCGAAUGAUCUAUUCAUUUCAAACAACUACCCAGUCCACAUUCUCUUUCACUUCCCUGACUGCCAUUAGCAUCCAACUGUCACAUGACGGGGAUGAAAAGAAAGGGAAAAAAAAAAGCUAGACCCCACUGAACUCUAAAAGUUUAAUACGGUCUAACAUAUUUUCCUGUCAUAUGAUAGUUGUGUGCUAAUGCGGCUAGAGAACUUGAUGGAAAAUUCAGUCUGCUUUGUUAUUGAAACAAAUAACCGUUGGCAUAGAAGACUACAACCUUUUAAACUGCGAGCGGAGACUCACAAUCAUGCCAAAAGUUCAAGGUGAAUCUGAGGCAUUUUCCCCCUAACUUAUAAACAUAGAAAAUAUUGACAGCUGAAUUUUAAGUUACUGAAGCAGAUCGAGAUGUAGUUGCAUAACAUCCAACAAAAAGUUAGUAGAACUUCGAAUCUGCAAUGAGUCAAUGACAUUAGCAGCAUGUCAAGCAGCAAGAAAAAUAGAACAACAACCAAUACUUUUAAGUAGUUCUUACACUUGUCAAAUCACCAUGAUAGAAUUAGCUUGUUAGAAUCAAAUAGACAACCAAAGUGUUAUAUUAACAACCAACCCGAUGUGACUCGAUUACACUACCUUAAAAAUUUACUUCCAUUGACUAAAGUACCUUAAAAGUUAUAGAUCUAUGAGCAACUCUAAUACAGUUCCCUAUCGUCGUACCUAAAGGGAUCUUAAUAACAAGACUUUCUUUGGAAACUCUAAAGAGUCACGUGGAUCCCAUAAAUAACAUAAUAAUACACUAUCAUGAUGAAAACAUAACCAAUUUGUUCUAGUUGUUGGAUAUCAAUGGAUGUUGGAAUGGAUGUUAGGAAAAAUCAUUGUUGGAAUGGAUGUUAGGAAAAAUCAUUGCAGUUGGCAUUUUGAUAACAAGCUGUUCUGUUCUGCUCAGCUUGGGAGGCAAAAUUUUUCAUAUUUUUUAGAAUAAACUGAACAAAGAUCAACUAAAUCAAACCAGUUUGUCUUAUUUGGUUUGGGUUGGAAAAAGAUAGUGAGAACACCAACUCUUCGUACUCUCAUCUCUUUAAUCAUCAUUCAUGGUCCUUUUGCAUUCCUUUGUCCAAAUCAGGACUAUUAAGCAAGUGUUUCUUUUGAAUCGGUCAGUUUCCUAAAGUUAACAUUUUCUUUUAUAUUUUAUGCUGUGUAUCACAUUAAAGAUUGUUUUUAGAUAUACUCAAAAAAAGGCAACAAAUUACUAUAAAUUCUCCAAUUAAACUAUAUGUACCAACUUUGAGAGUAAAACACAAAUCCUUUUUUUUCAAAAAAAAGACAACCAAAAAAACCUAAUUUUGUGAAUACAUAAGAAUAUUUAGGGUUUUUCUGAUUUCCCAAAAGCAUACUAGAUUCAAUUAUAUGUCUAAAUGAACACGAAAUCACAGGCAAAAAGUAGAACAAAAAAAAAAGUGAGAGAGAAAAUCGAGGAAAUAAAUGACACGGAAGGGCAAAAACAAAAACAAAAAAAAAAAACACCACGAUUACUUAUCAUCGCCCCCAAUCAGGAAGAAAAACAGCAAAGAAAAAUAGCCAAUGAAGGGUAAAGAUAUAGAGAUUGUUUAAACAAAAUGGAGGAUAAAGAAAGAUCUCACAAGGGAAACUACUGAUCCCAUUAAGAAACAAAAACAAACUAAAAAGAGAGAGAGAGAGAGAGAAAACUCGGAGAAUUAGGCGUUACAAAAUGAGUUCUAAUCCGUCUCGAAUUAAAGGCGAGCACAAUCCCGAAUCAGAUCUAAUACCUCCAUUCGUACGAUUAGAUUGGAGCUACGAUUAAGGGAUUAUUAGAGUCCACAGAGAGAGAGAGAGAGAGAGCAUUACCUAGCACACUAAUGGCGGAGAGAGGAGGAGGAGGGGGUUCGUGGCGGAGCUUCCUCGGUGGAGCCACCGAGGUGGUUGGGGGGGUAGCGAGAGCUCGGGGUAGAGACGAUGAGGGAGCGGACGCGCGGGGUUGGACUCGGGAUGGGGCGGAGAGUAGGGUGGGGGAAAGCGAAGAAACGGGGAGGUUCGGGGUUGCGGGGCGCCCGUUGUUCUAUUUGUUGGUGUUGGUGGGCGCCGACGUGGGCCGGUUCGAACUUGGUCCGUUUUCGGCCCAAAUUAAACAAAACGGGCAUAACCGCCUGAUCCGGGCUUAACUUCUUUAGCACUUGUUAUUAUAUGGAUGAAAACGGGUCGCACAACAUCUGAGCCGACCCGAGUCCUAGCGAUGCAAACGGGGCAGUCGGGUCGCGGGAGAGUCCCCAACUCCCACCCCUUGUUUUCGUCCGGUCGGAAAGGAUUGAGAGCAGAUUAAUUUUUAUUUUAUUUUUUUUCAUCCAGAGAAAAUAAGGGCCAGAACGGAUUUUGCCGAAUUUUUGGCAAAUUAAGAUGAAUAGAAAAAGAAGUAAGGGAUCUCUCACCGCCUAUUCUAUUUUCUUGGCAAAUCCGGAUGGGUGCGUGGUAGGUAAUUCCUUUGUAUAUUUUUUUUACUCCCAUUCAGGAUUUGUCGAUACGAGAGUUUCAACAACCCGAAUCCAUUUAUAUCUCUAGACCGGACAUUGAAUUCGACACCUUUCAGAUGUAGAUCAGAAUUUUGCCAUCGGACUCAAAUUCAGAUUCGGAUUUAUAUUAUCCGAACUCGAAACUAGUUUUUAUGUAUUUUCAAGUUUCAACAGUUGCAUCAUUUUUAAAUCUAUUUAUAACCUUUUCUUUUGAGAAUCCUCAGUUUUUUUAAUAUUUUUUAAAUUUUUUUUGAGAAUCGGUAGCUAAUAUUUUUUAAAUUAUAUAUAGAAUUAGGCUACUAUACUAUCUAUAAUACCGAGCUCCGGUACUAUAGUGUUUGUUUUCGAUCUUAGGGUGUUCAAAUCAACGAUCCACACCGUUAAAUAUGAUCUAGGGUAUAUGAAUUUCUUAAAAAUAAAAUUUUAGUUUUUUUCGAUAUCGUUUACUUAGUAAAUAAAUUAUAUAUAUAUAUAUAUAUAUAUCUCGAUCCGAUGAUAUGAUAGAUAUCAUGGCCUCGCAUGGCUCGAGGCCAUGAUAUCACAACCAAAAGCUAGAAUCCCGCAAGUUUAGUUGCUAGGUGUGGCAAUUUUGACUAGAUCCCAUAAAUUUCAAAGAUCUUUAUUUUAAAAUAUAAAAAAGCUGUAUCAAAUGAAAUACUAGUUUGGUAAAGUUUUAAUAGUUAAAAGUUACUGAUAAUACUGCUCAAACCUCAAAUUGCCACAUCUUCUUAGAUUUAAAGAAGUUUAAAAUUAUUUUUUAUGAAAUUUGAUAUAUCUAACUCUAAUUGUAAGAACUAGAACUUAAAUUUUCAGGAUACGAGUUAAAAAUUUUUUAUAAGUUAAAAGUGGCAGGUAAAACUGNNNNNNNNNNNNNNNNNNNNNNNNNNNNNNNNNNNNNNNNNNNNNNNNNNNNNNNNNNNNNNNNNNNNNNNNNNNNNNNNNNNNNNNNNNNNNNNNNNNNNNNNNNNNNNNNNNNNNNNNNNNNNNNNNAUAUAUAUAUAUAUAUAUAUAUAUAUAUAUAUAUAUAUAAAACUAAACUACUAUAUUAUUAAUACUAUUAAUACUAUUAAUAGUAUCAAGUCAUUAGUGCUAUUAUGCCCUUCAAUGAAGAGUUGUGCGGUUAGAAUAAUAAUGAUCCUCUACGACUGAGUGGAUAGUUGGUGAAUUAUAUGAUCUAACAUGUGAAAAUAGUCAAAAUGAUAAAUUUAAUGGCGAAAAACUUAGUAACACCAAGUGCUGGGUGUUAUUAGCAUAAUAGUCGAAUAUAUAUAUAUAUAUAUAUAUAUAUAGCUAUGGUGCUUCUAAAAGCACCAAGCACUUGGUGCUUGUGAAUUUUUUACCGUUAGAUUUACACCUUUGAUCAUUUUCACCCAUUAGAUUAUACUAUUCAACCAACCACCUACUCAACCCUAGAGAGAGAGAGUUUGGCUGGUAUGCUUAUGGAAGCACGGAGACUUCCGUGCUUCCAAGUUGUUUUCGAUGUUCGGACUUUCGAAUCGACGAUCGGCUCCGUUAGCGUUGAUCUAGAGUAUUUGAAGUACCUAGAAAAUAAAGUUUGCGAUUUUUCGAUAUCAUUUCCCUAGUGAUCGAAAGGGCUCAAAAUCAAUAAUUUUAAUGGCCGUGGUGAGCCGGUUGCAAGUUUAACGGUGUAGAAAUAUCUAAAUCACGUGAAAUUUUAAUAAAAAAUUCUUUAUAUUAUAUAAAAUAAGAUCAAUAUCUUUGAUUUAAAUUUUUAAUGUCAUAUCAUCACAUUUUGUGAGAUUUUUAUUUUCAGCCGUUUAUUUUGAGCCCCUUCGAUCAUUAGGCAAAUGAUAUCGAAAAAAUCACAAAAUUUAUUUUCUAGAUACUUCAAAUACUCUAGAUCAAGUCUAACAGAGUCGAUCGUCGAUUCGAAAGUCCCAACAUCGAAAACAACUUCGAAGCACGAAGGUCUACGUGCUUCCAUAAAUAUACUAGCCGCACUAUAUAUAUAUAUAUAUAUAUAUAUAUAUAUAUAUAUAUAUAUAUAUAUAUAUUGCUUUUAGUUAUAGGUAAUUCUUAAAUAUUCAAUUCAUAUCCAACUUGUUUCCGAAUCCGUUUUUACCGAAUAUAAAUAUAAAUUCUAGUAUCCGAUCAAUAUAUGAAUAUAGAUUAAGCACUAUCCGUUUUCAUAUCCAACCCGUUUCUACUCCUAACAUCAUUGGGCCCAAUCGGGUUCUCCAUGAAGCCCACUAGAAGCCUCUUCAAAUUGCAGGGACUUGGGCUUUCCAGUUCUGAAAACAAUUGGCCUUCAUUUUAUAAGUUCUCAAUCUAGGUCUUUGCUGUGAUAGAAGGUUUUUGUGCUGGAGUUUUUACCAUAUGUAUAAGAGAAUCUAAUCGAACUGACUCAGUUCAUAAUUGUUAAAAUAUACAUAACGCUUUUGAAAUUGACUCAGUUUAUUAAUUUUAUUAUUUCCUCUUUUUUUUUACAUUUUUAUUAGAUUUUAUAUCCUUUCUCCAAAUUUUAGAAAAUAAUUUCAAACUAGAACUAUAUUUUUUAUUUGUCUCCAGUUUUAAGCCCUUCCUUUUUAAAAAUUUCUUCAUAGUUGCACAAGAAUGAAGCAUCUAAUGAAACCGAACUUCGCAAAAACUGUGGAAGCUAAAGUGAUUCAAUAGCCUGCUUUUGGUUUAAAUAUCACCGAAGAUGACUCUCAUUCGUACAAAUAGUACAGAACGAUGAAUAAAUGCGAAAAAAGACUAUGAAGAGAGAAAAAAAAAAAGGAACCAAUCAUAUCUUGCACAGUUGGCUAAGAAUUUAAUAGUUAGUAUUUGAGGCCUCAAGAUUCCAAGACUAGUUGCUAGUAUUUCUAUUUAAGUUCAUUUCUAAAAAGUCAUACGGAACAAUCAAAUUAAAUAGAAUCAUGAUUAAAUUUAAUAAAAAAUUUAAUUUAAUUAAUAAAUCGUGUUGUAAAUAAAAUGAAUCGAAAGUGCCACUGAAUGCAAAUGAAUGGAAUGGAUUAAAGAAGAGGGCCAUUCACAAAUGGGCCGAAAUCGGCGAACGCUAAUUAGUACCAAGGCCCUCUACAGGGUUUUUAACACGAGCCCACAGUGUAAAUUGUUCAACACAACUGUUACACGUAAUAGGUCCACAAAUGGAUGUGGACCCAUAAGUUAAUGGGUCGAGCCCGAUAAGCUUCAUAGUCUGGGUUAAAAUUUUUAAAAAUAGAAAAAAAAAAUAAAAUCUUAUUUUUAAUUUUACACAAUUUUUUACACAAUUUUAGUGUAAAAAAUAUUACUAACUAUCUUCUCAUUUCAAAAUAGUCACUGUUUGAGAUUGCAACGAAAUUGUUUCGUGUGGCAUGAGAAAAAUAGGACCAAAAUAAUAUUUUAUUUAUUUUAGUAGGUAACAUUAUGAAAUAUUAGUAUAGAAACCUGUACAAUGCGACUGGUGGAUAAUUAGAAAAAAAAUAGAAAAUAACGAUAAAGGAAGAGAAAACGGCAAGAAAAGAAGCAAUGAUGAGUAGUGCGAUUCAUCUUGUCGAUGAAAGAAGCUAACAACAGAAGGAAGAGGAAGAUGAACAAGUAUGCCCAAUGUAGAGGUUUCGUACUGUUCAGUUCAAGCAAAAAAAAAUAAAAUAAAAUAAAAUAAAAUCCGAUUCGAUUCAAGCAAAAAAAGAAAAACUUAAGCCGGUUCGGAACAGAGUCCGCAUUCAACAAUGAUCAGUUUGGUUUCAGUAAAGAAAGAGAGAAAUUCGAUUCAAAGAUCAAAACAUGUAGAGUAAUUGCGCUGGUUCGACCCAAUGCAACAGGUUGACUCGAUUCGAUUCAAGUAAAGAAAUAGAAAAAUCAAGUUCGGUUCAAGUGAAGAAAGAAAAAAAUAUGUAGAAAACUUGAGCUGAUUUAGGAAAGCCUGCACUCAAUAGCAAUCGGCUCGGUUCAAGUAAAGAAAGAAAAAAAAAAAAUUGGUUCGGUUCAAGUAAAAAAAGUGGAAAGGGGAAAAUAUGUGGAGGACUUGAGCUGGGUCGAGGUGGAGUCCACACUCAAUAAUAAAAGAAAUAUUAUCAUGCAACAAAUUUAAGAGGAAUAAUGUAUAGAAGAUAUAUAUAGAAGGGUAUAGAUGGAUUUAUGAUGAGUCUCGUCAAUAUUUAGAAUGGGAAGAUAGAUAGUAAUUCAAGGUCCGGGUCAACCAAAUUUUGCGUGUCAAAUUGAAAUGGACAAGGAACAAAAACAGGGUGCUAUCAAAUCUAAUAAUUGUAGGUUUAAUUCUUUACAGAAAAAAGUGAUUUUCAACUUAUUAUAAAUUGCGAUCGAUGCAAUAUGCUACCUCGUUCUAAACAAGUUUCAUAUCCAAAUUUGUUAGUUAUUCAAAAACUUGAUAAUCAAAUACAAGAAUAAAAUGGUUCUAAUUGCUUAAAUUUUUAUGCAGCAAAGUAAUUGCUGAUUUUUCUGAACUUCACCUCUUUUGCUAACAAGCACGUGAACUUUUGAUUUUGAUAAUUAAGCUCCUUAAUAGAUCACUCUACUCAGGCAAACUGACUACUUACAAAUAGUCGAUUGAAUUUUGAAUAUAUAUUUCUGUAAUACUUCAAAAUAUGAAGAAAUAUGUUUCUUUUAUUCUAGUUGUGGUAAUUGAGCAUGAGAAUCAAAGAAUAUUGAAUAAAACUUUGAUUUAGAUUUUUUUUUUCUCUUGCUACGUUAGAAUUACAAAAAUAAAUUUUCUUAUGUUUGAAGCUUUAUAAAAUUAUAUGCAAUACAAACAGCCAAAAUAGCCCCAUAAUUAGUAACUUCAAUUGGAGACGAUGGUCGAUUAAACUAUUUUAUAAGAUUUAAAAUUCUAAAAAUUCAAAAUUUUAUGUCUGUUUAUAAAAAGGCAAAAGUUCAGAAGAUAUAUACACUCUUUUUUUUACCAACUGAAAAACUUUUAGUUCUGAAGAAAAAAAAACAUAAAAAUAGCAACGAUAUCAAACAACAUCUAAAUUUAUAAUCUAUGUAAUUGUAUAAAAAAUUAGUAUUUUUAUUUUUUCAAAAACAUAAAAUUUAAUUUGUUAUAAAAUUUGAAAAAUAAAUUGUUUGAAAAAACUAAGUUUUCUUGAAACUACACAGAUGAAAUACUGAAAUAAAAGUUUUUCAUUAAAAAAAAAUUUUCUCAAUUUUUUUUUAAUGUUUUUUUGACGAACUAAACACCCCUAAGUUUCAAACCAAAUAAUUUUCUGCUUUAAUUUGAAUAAAUAAAAAUUUAAUAAUUCUUUUUUUCUUUUUUUUCAAUCCAAACUUAAAAAGAAAAAUAAAAAAAAAGGGGGGUAAAGUAAAACGAAGCAUUCAAUGUUCACUGGUUGGCUCUAUCCCGCUCUCUUCUGAAACCGGGCACUGCAGAAAAUCGAGUCGAGCAGCGGGCGGGUGACGUCGCCUACUCGCCUGCGGUGCGCGUGUAAGCGUGCGGUGGACGACCGAGCUCGAAGAUCCACCCACACCCACACCCACACCCACACCCACAAGCACUCGAGUCCAACCAAACACCCACCGGUACGUCUGGACGACUCAUAAUUAUCGCGCGUCGUGGCUGAUCACGCAAUCCGCGUCUUCUUUCUCCCACGUAACGUACACGUACAACCAGCUUCUUUCUUUUCAUCCUUACUCCAUCAUGCAUCUCCCCCAUCUCACCCACACCAUCACUCAUCGCACCUCCUCUCAACGUUACUGCGUUCGUCUGUGUGAAUAGUAUAUAGAUAUCAUAUAUAAUAUAAUAUAUAUAUACUCAUAUAUAAUAUAAAUAUAUAUAUAUAUUAUAAUACAUAAUAUAUAAGUUAGGUUACCGGUGUCUGUAACAGUACUAAAAUUAGUGUUUAUGAUAUUUUUGUGCUGUAUAAUUCAUUGUUUGCCGGUAUAAAUUAUACUAAUUCAGCCAAUCAUCCACUCAACCAUAGAAACUCACAUCAUUCUAACCACAUAUCCCUUAAUCCAAUGUUUAAACAAUCAAAAAGACCCACUAACUUGUACUUUUAAAAAAGUAUGGAGCUCAAUUCUCUCUCUCUCAUCUCUCUCUUCUCUCUAUAUAUAUAAUAUAGAUUAUAUUAAUAUUAUGUAUAUAUAUAACUAUAUAUUUUCGAAAGUAUAGCAAAAAUUUAUGCUUCUAAACAUUUGACUCUUAGAUCAUAGAUUACAGUACGAGUAGAUGAUAGUCUCCCCACUAGAUUGAUGGUCCGCACAAAAUAUAAUAUUAAUUCCAAAAUUAUAAAUGGUGAAAAAACUAAUUAAGAGCUAACAGUUGAAAGUAAACUAAACUUUUUUAUACUUGAAAGCAGUAAUACUUCUAUCUCUCUCUCUCUCUCUCUCUCUCUCUCUCUCUCUCUCUCUCUCUCUCUCUAUAUAUAUAUAUAUAUAUGAUGCUAAGGAUAUUAAGCAAUUUAUGCGCGCAAUUAAAAAAUAUAUUUUAUAAAUUUAUCAGCAUACCAAUAAUUUAUAAAAAAAUAUAUAUUAAAAAGAAUGUUAUAUUAGUAUAUUCUAUCUUGCACUCCUAACAUAAAGUUUAAUGAUUGAUAUUUCAAUUCCCAAAUUCGAGACAUAAUUAUUUUAUAGUUUUAGAUAAAUUUAAUUUUUUAAAAUAUAAACGAAAUGGACGACAUACUCUCUCUUCGCUCAAAAUAAAAUUUUCUAUCCUGCCUCAGAGCAGAGUAACAAAUCUUUUAUUAGAUCAUUACAUUACUUUUGCUAUAUUACAUCUCUUCGUAUUGUAUAAAAGUUUUAAUUAAUUAGAAUAUAUAUACGGUCAAAAUAUUUUGCAGGGGUAAUGGUAAUGUACUGCACGCAUGGUGAUGAGAGGGAUACGUCAGGAAAUCUGGCACCGUACGUAGGCUCCUCCAAAGUGCUCAGCAAGUUGGUGUGAUGCGAACAUUAAGGCGUGGCAGAGCCCUAUCAUUGUCCACUUAAUUGCAGCUUUUCUUUCUUUUGCAUGCAUAGAUGAUAGAGCGACUCACUGACAUUGUGUAUAGCCACCAAGAACUAGUUGGGACCAUUCCCAUUUUUCUAAAAUAAUAUAGCAGUUAUGUCACUGAUAUUUUCAGUCAAUAAAAAAUUUUUUGUAAAAUUUAUCUAUUUUAUCAUAAUUUUUUUAAAAAAAAAUAUUUUUCAUUAUAUUUUUUUUCACAAAAAAAAAGAUGUGAUUGACUCCGUGACACCGGUCCAUUUUUCUAAAAUACAGUAAUCAUGUUACUGAGGUGAUAUUUUCAACUAAUUAAAUAAUUAUUCUAUAGUUUAUCUGUUCCAUCAUAAUUUUUAAAAGAUACUUUUAUUAUAUUUUUCUCUCAAAGAAAGAGAUAUGAUUGACUGAAUGAUGUGGUGUAGUAAACUUUCUCUAACUCGAGGGUGUAAAAAAUUUGAUGACUAAUAGUCUGAAUUCUAUAUUUAAAAUCUAAUUGCUUUAUAUUUUUGACUAAAUGUACUUAAAAAAAAAAGAAAUGAAUUGUAGGCUAUCUUGUUGGGAAUCCGGUACUCGUCCCGGUAUCGGAUCUCGUGAAUCCGCAACCCGCUCCGAUACCGACUGCUGUGGAUCCGGUAUCGAUUGUUGGGAUUCCGCAACGGAAGCGUCGAAUCGGGUUUUUACUAUAAACCCGUCUCCUCAGCAAAAGCUGAUACAAUCAUAAAAAAAAAAACCAAAACAGAAAAUAUGCGGAUAAAAUAAGAUUCAAUUAAAUAAGAGAAGAUUACACCUGACUCCUAUUCUGCAACAGAGUAGCUACAACCCUAGCCAUCUUUCUGAAUCUUUUCUACCCUUCUCUCAUCUUCUAUAAACCCACAAAGAAUACCUCUCCGCGUGCACCCGUGCACAAGAUGCACUAAAAUAACUCUCUCUCUCUUUUUCUCUCUCUGGUACGACACCCCAAUGAUUCCAGCCGUACUACUAUCAAAAAAGAGAGCCACAAAGUCUAUUUAUAAUGCUCAACUUAAAACGUACCCCAAUCCUAAUAUAUUUAGGAUUCAUACUUUAAUUAAUAUAUAAAUCUAUCUUAAUCAAUCUGAUUUAAAUAUUAAUCAUAAUCUAGUUAGGUUUAUCCUCUAAUUAAUAUUUAAAUCUUAAUUUAUCUCAAACAGAUUUAAAUAUUAAUUAUUAUCCAAAUAUGAUUUAACUACAAAUCUAACCAAAUCCUAACAUAUCUUUCUCUCUUUCAAAAAAAGUAAUGAUUAAUUUGGUUGGCUUGAUUCAAUUGAUGUAGUUUUAAUAAAAUAUUUCUUAUUUAGUUUAAUUUUUUAAAAACUAUAAAAAGUGAGAUAUAAUCAUAAUUAAAUUAUAAAAUCAUUAGUCUAAGAUGAUAAUAAUAAUUAAUAUCUUUAAUUAUAUAAUUAUUACUUAAAAUUAAUAUAACUUUUUUUUUAAAAUGUAAAACUAAUAUAUAUUAAACCGAAUAAUAAUGCUCACGCCUGCGAAGAAGAACUACCCAUGUAUAUAAACUUCCAUCAGAAGGGUGAUAUGCUAUUUAUUUAGUAUAAUAUUAUGUUUUAUAUUUAGUAAUAAAUCAAUAUGAAAUAUUUUCGGCAAUCCUAUUAGAAAACAGAAAAAUAUAUCUAUACAUUUUUUUGGAGGAUUUUUACUCAGAUGUCUGAUUAGGACCAUUUAGUCAACCAAGAAUAUAUUAGAUAUUUUUAAAAUUUUGAGAAAGAGAUUUUUUUUUUUGUAUUAAUUUUGUUGUCUAAUUGUGUUAGAUGGGCCUCAAUACCAAAUUGACCCUCAAUUUGGUUCUGGGUUUAAUUUGGUUCAAUAGAAAAAAUUUGUUUUUUGAAGAAUUGAUCUAACUUUUAACUUAAAUAUUCUCUCUAACUAUUUUUCACCGCAGCAAGAGCAGAAACUUUAAAUUUUGUUCGACAUUGUUAUUGUUGUUGUUUCUUUACAUUUUUAAAUAAAAUUUUUACCCAAAAUAUUAUAGAAGAAAAUGAUGAAUUGAUUAUAAUCUCUACAUCCAACAUAAUUGCACGGCAAUAAAAAAUAAAAAACAAAAAAUUUUGAAGUUCUUAUUUGCUUCCAAAUUUUUUUUUAUAAAAAGUUAUCAUUCACUGCCUGCCCACAAUGCACAGACAAGCAAUAUAUUUUUGAAUUGUUUCAAGACUUUCUUUUGGUAGUUCUAGAGAAAGUUUGUUGUAUGAUCUUUCAAAGAUAGGAUAUUAAAUGCUUUUGCAAAAGGAUCUAAAAUGCCUUUGCAACUAAUUACACACUGUUGGAUUAAAUGGACCACUAUCCUGCUCUGUGACGAGAAGUCAUGCUAGGCCGAAUUACGUUCGAAAUGACGUGCAUGAGGCUAGGUUCGACCAAGUCAUGUUCGAAAUGGCGUAAGGCUGGUUAGGAUAAGUCACAAUCGAAACCUGUUUGCGAUGUGUCUGUACACUUUAAAUGAAUUUGUUGUGUAUUUCUAAUAGCUCGAGCUUUUCGGAUAAAACUCUAUACUUCUUACGUGAUUUUGUUCUCAUUGAAAAACUCCUCAACAAAAUCUCGUCAUUAUAUAUAGUUUAAUGAGCCUUGUCAUUCACCUCGCAUCCCGUGUUUCAAAAUUUAUUGCAAUUUAAAUUUUUUUAACCAAAAUUUAAUUAUACCAUAUCAGACAAACGUUUUAAAAAAAGCCCAGUAAUAAUGAAUAAAGUUAUACUCCUAUUAUAAUAGUUCUAAGCUAUUACAUCUAUUUAAUUAUACAGUUUGUGCCAUCCUGAUAACGUAAAUUAUACUACUACCACAAUAUUUACAGAAACGAUUUGCAAUAAAUUUUAUUUAUUGAAAAAAUAUUAUUAUUAUUGUAACAAUAUUUUUAUUAAAAAAAAAGUUCUAGCUAGUAAUGUCCAAAUUGAAAUAUAUAGGCAUUAAGUAUCUCGAUAUCAACGGCCUUUUUAGCACGCACUAAAUAUGGAAACGAAAAUAUUUUCCCUCUUCGACAUAAAUGCGAAAUCUAAGUAUUGGCAUGAGUCAUUUAUAACUAGAAACAGACAAUCACAAGGUAUUGUUGUGGCCAUUAAUUUACUCUCCUUGUUUACAACCACUGCUCAAUAAAUAUACCGCAUGCUCUCGCAGAGAGAAAAACGUAGAACAAGGCCGAGUUCUCCGUCCACCUGAUGAUGCUUUAAUUUGACCCCUUUUGCAUAAAUCUCGUUUAUGGAGCCACCCUAUUUAUUCACUUCAUUUCGACAUUAUAACAAAGCUCACCAACUCUAGCACACAAACCUAGACACAGAAAGUGUUGGCUUAAAUAGGCCAGCAUUCUGCCCUGUGGCGGAAGGCCGGGUUGGGUUGAGUCACGUUUGAAAUUGGCGUGAGUUUGGUGGGCCAAGUCAUAUUCGAAGUGGCGUGAGGCCAGAUGAGCCGAGUCGCAAUCGAAACCCGUGGGGGCGCAGCAUCUGUACACUUUAAGUGAAUUGGUAACGUAUUUCUAUCAGCUCGAUCUUUUGAGAUUAAUGGUUAGCACCAAUGAUCCGACAGAUAGAACAAAUCAAAAGCCUAGCUAGUUAGAUUACAAUAGCUAGUUUUAUAUAUUCUGAUCCUCCCAACUUUUAAAUUAAAUAAUAUUUCGUUAGGCAUCAAACCGCAUAAUUUUCUAAUCUUAUCAUUCUAUUUUAAUAUUAGUAAGAUUAUUUCUAAUACUAUUAAAUUUUAAUUUUUAAUAUAAGUAUACCUUUUUAUUAUUAAUUUAAUGUGACAAAUAUAUAAAAUUAAAUAUGGAGUAUAUUUAAUGUCCGAACUACGUAAAUAUUUAUAUUGUCUUUUUUUUUUAUUGCUUUUUCGAUCUUCUUUUGGCAUUUUCAAAGCAGAUCUUUUUUGUUCUAUAUAUUGUAAAAAAUUAGUAUAAGAACAAAUGUGGUAUCAGAAUAAGUUACAACUUCAUAACAUACUUAUAAUUAUAAAAAUUUUAAUAAGGCAUCAUCAUUGUGGAGAAAUUACUGCCUAAAUCUAAAGCAUGUACGACCAUAUAAUUUUUUUGCUGUAAUUAUAAAAAUUAAUUGUUCCACCAAAUGUAUAACAUAAAUGAAAGAUUUUUUUUUUUUUUGACACAAAGACAUCUAAUUAAAUGAACCAAUCAAACAAUAAUUUUAUUUUUUAAUUUAUCAAAAGAAUUUCGAAAUGUCAAACUAAAAAGUUCUCGCAAUCAAAAUAAAUUUGGUCUAAAAUGUUUAAGGACUACUAGUAUCGCAAUUUACCCAAACAAACAACAUAUACUAACCCUGAUUUAUUUUUGGAAUAUACAAUACACAUUCGCAAUAAUAAAGGGCCCCAUGCAUGCAAAAUUGGGUUAAUGUACAAGGGGGUUAGCACUAAAAAGUCCAAAAUAUGACGGUCAUAUAUAUCACUAACAUGGCAUCUCUAAUCUAUCUCAUCAUGAUUUUUAGAAAAAUAUUUUUAUUAUAUUUUAUUUUUCAAAAUAAUAUAUAUAUAUAUAUAUAUAUAUAUAUAUAAAAUCUAACUGAGCGGGACCCAUACUUUGAAGAGCUUUUCGCAAUGGUCGCGCGGUCAAACUUUGAAGUCAAAGAGGUGGUGGAGCGGGGUCGAAUGAUCGCUCAGCUCCGUCCAUUGCCGGUAAAUGUCGUUGGCGAUGUUGACGGCAUCGGAGGACGUGCCGAGGAGGCCGCGGCGGGUGAAGCCGACGCAGUACAGCCCCUUGUCCCCCUUCCAACCGCUGGGGAAGGGAGUCUUGGGGAUGCCCUCCUUUGUGAAGUGCUCGUCAGCAUCCUGAGUAUUUUCCGACAUUUUAGUACUAAAAUGCUCAUCAAAUUUAUAGACAAAAUGAUAAUUAUAAUAAAUAAAAAGUACUAAAACAACCAUAUAGGCGUAAAGAAAGAGCCGUAAAGCUAGUAACCAAAACACAUGUAUGUUAGAAAAGUGAGAGGACCAUGCAAUAAUAAUAUAGAAUGAUAUUAGCACAUUCAAAGUUUUUCCCUAUUGAAUAAGAUACAAUUAAUUUAUGUACCUUGUUGGAAAUAUUAAUCUGAGAGUAACAAAUAGAAGUUAUGUGGAAAUUAGUUUUCCAAUUAAAAAGAUCUAGAUUCACAUUGCCAGCUAAGUUUAUUUCUAAAUGAAAUAAACGAAACGGAAAGCGUGCUACCUAUCUCUAAAAAAAAAAAAAAGGAAAAAAAAAGAGUUGUUUGUUUCCCAACUGAAGCGGGGGAGCAAGUUGUUUGAUUAUUUAGUUAAUAGUACCUAUCUUAAUUAUCUUAAUUACUUAUGAAAAAUAACAAUAAAAUCUUGUCUGACAAACAGCAAAAAAAAAAAAAGAGUAAAGCUUUUGACUUUAAAUGCUGACUAAUAAACAACGGUUAGAAAACCGCUAUUAAAUAUAAAUCUUACAUGCUUUGCAUUCUACAGUUCGCAAAAACAUCUUUGGAUGAGUAGCAGGGUACAAAUCUUACACGCUGUUUAGUUUAAGGUUUGUAACAUUUCAAAAAAUAUUGUACAAUCUAUAUUUGGAAUAACGAAUUUGUUACUAACCGAACUUAUCAAGUUACUUUGAGUUGGAAGAUUAUUAAAAACUAGUAUAUUUUUAUAUGCUAAUACAUAUAUAGUAAUCUCUACCCAGAAAUCUAUAAUAAUUUGAUUACUUAACUAACACUUUAACAAUUAUCCAACUUAAGUUGAAUGAUAAUAAUUUUAAUAAAAAAUAAAAAAAAUUACUGAAUAUUAUUAACAACAAACCAAACGGGUCGCAUAGCUAUGACAAGAUAAUUUAGACAAAGUAUAUGUAAGAUACGGCUCUAAAUAACACAACGCUUCAGAACCGUCGAAUCAAGCCACAAACAAACUAUGGUCCCAUAUUGGGGUCUAACACUUUGGCUACACUAGGUGGUAGCUAGUCACAAGCCAAAGUCAUUCUUAGCCAUAAACUAAAGGGACCCACAUCUCCCUCUCCACAUUACUCAACCCAAAAAAGACCACCCACAUCUUAACUCAAAAAGAGACAAAACCUUUCCCCCCUUAACUUGUAUUUUUCUGUGGAAUUAAUAUAUCAAAAAACAGCCUAGGAAAGACUUAUACUGGAUAAGAAAGAAAUUUAGUAUAGCUCUCCAAAUUGUGUAUAGAAAUAUGUACACGAAAAACUCUAAUAAAGUAAACUAGAUUUAAGCAUUUUAAGCAAGUAGGCUUGGAUUUAACGAAUUACUAAUGUUUUUUUUUUUUUAGAGAUAGGUAGCACGCUAUCUGCUUCGUUUAUUUCAUUUAGAAAUAAACUUAGCUAGAAAUGUGAAUCAACUAAGAUUCGAACUUGGGACCUCGGGUACCAACGAGUAAGCUCUUUGCCACUUACUCUAGGAACGGUCGGUUAGCAGGCUGGAUUGUUACAUUUAAUAUCAAAAUCUAUUUAAUUAUCAGUAGAAAGUGCAACAUGAACCUCAUAUUAUCCAAUAAUUUUGAAAUAAAAAUAAGAUAUAAAAAAUAUAAAGACCAGAUACUUUAAUAAUAAUAACCAAACUUAGAAUGCUUAUAAUAGAAAAGGAUAAAGCUGUAGCAAGGGUCACGUUUAAUCACCUUGAGCCACGAGGGAACGUUACUCUUGUACCCCGUCGCCAGAAUGAUUGCGUCAUACUUCUCCUCUCUACCGUCCACGAACUUCGCCCCACCCUUCAUUAUCUCCUUCACUCCUCCCACCACCUUCGCAUCAAAAAAGCACGCAGAUGGUGACAAACUUACAAGUUGCCGUAAAGCAAUUAACCAAACACUACACAUUCCAUGUGAACUAUCUCACUACGUGUAUCUUGUUUUUAAAAAAAGGACAAAUGCCACUGACAAAUAACAAAAUGUAUGUUUAAUAUUGAGAAACAGAUUUAUUUAACCUGGUUGGUUUUGACCUACACGUCCCUAUCUUUCACUUUCCUUUUUAAACUCUUUUUCUAGGAAUAUUUACCUAUAAGGAUACUGUGGAUUAAUUAGCACAAGUAAUCCUACACUUGUGGUAAGGGACCAUGUUGCCAUACUACUAAAAGUUAGCCCCUUUUAGCAAAAAUAUAAUAAUAAUAUAUUAAUAAUAAUGCAACUCACGUAAAAUAAUCACAGAAAACAGUUGAUGUGAUGGCUACUUCAAUGAGUCAAUUCCAUCAACAUCUUAGGAUAGAGGGUGACGUCAUAGAGAGCAUGCAUAGGANCGUGGCGUGAUAUCUGGAGAAAGCUACAGUUGUUGACUUGUUGUUGAUUUGAUUUAGGAAAUAUAAAAGGAGAGAAAAAAAAAAAAUCAGAAUCUAGCUAGCUAUAUUGUUGAUAUCACCAACUAAUUAGAAUGUUCCAUUUAAGUUUAUUCGUCUCUUUAUAAUUAUUAAAAAUAUUUUUAUAUAUUUUUUAUUUAGAAAUAAAAUAUGUCUGGUUAUUACUAUUACUAAAUAAUAUAGUGUGACCGAUACAUAACAUAAUUUUUGCGUACAUAAAUAAAUUUUAUAGAUAUACAGAGCGAGAGGGAAAUUGAGUCUGACAAGAAGCCACACCGUUAUGUUUCCGGAUUUGAUUUGGUCGAGGGCACCAACAUCGAGGACCGGGGUCUUGCCGGUUAGGUUCUUGAGCUCGAUGGGUCCGGUCUUGGGCCGGCGCAGGCCGAGGCGGCCGGUGUCACCCAGGAUCAUGUGGGCGGCUGCCAGGAGCAGCCUGUCCACCACCCGCACCGGCAGCCACUUCAGCAGCGCCAUCGCCACCCCGAACGUCGACAUCCCCAGCAUCUCCCUCGGAAGCACAUGCACCUGCCAACGGAAACUCCGUUACUUACGUAGAUCACUUUCUUUAACGAAACUCACAGCUCACGUGCAUGACAGAUAUUAUCGGACAGAAAUUUACGUUGUUGGAUACCAAACGUAUAUGAAAAUUAAAGUCAAGAUCUCUUAAGACUAGUUUGGCAUUGUUGCCGCGAAAUGCGUUCAUUUUAGUACUUUUAAAUAUUUUUUAAUUUUUUUUUCUGCAAUGCUAUAAAAUAAUAAUAAUUGAAGAAGCAAUUCAGGGGAUGUUUUGUAAUUCCCCCCGAAUAAAAAAAAGCUCCAAAAUGCUUCUGAAUUUGCAACUCCUCCUCCUCGAGCACUCGUCCACCCACCACCACCGCUGCCCGCUCUUGCGGCUCGGGCACCCGCGCCUCCACUAGUCGCCCUAGCUCGCGAAGCGCCCCGCGCAGCAGGUGUGCUCGCGCAUGUUUUGGCCGCGGCUCAAGUCGCCGGUUUUCCACAACCACCACCCCACGCCGUUGAGGCCAUACCUCCACUCGAACCUGGAUACAGCUGUGUUACGGUUCGGGAGGUACCAGCAGGCUUUGAGCCAAACAGCUAUAAUUGUAAGUGAGGAACUUAAGAUUCCAAAUAUAUAUAUAUAUAUAUAUAUAUNAAAUAAUAAUAAUUGAAGAAGCAAUUCAGGGGAUGUUUUGUAAUUCCCCCCGAAUAAAAAAAAGCUCCAAAAUGCUUCUGAAUUUGCAACUAUAUAUAUAUAUAUAUAUAUAUAAACCUUAGAAUUCAAGGAGUGAAUGUUAAUAUCGACAAACCGAGUUUCGGACGACCAUGGAGGGCUUGGCAUUGUGUCGACAUAGGUCCAAGCUCACCUCCAUACCGGAGUUGCCGCACCCCACCACCAACACCUUUUGGCCGCUGAACUCGGCGCCGGUUUUGUACGCGCUCGUGUGGACGACGCGCCCCGCGAAGCGCUCGAUCCCGCUGAUCACCUCCGCGCCCACGGGCUCGGCGUUCUCGCCCGUCGCCACCACCACCCACCUGCUCACGAGCUCCUCCUCCUCCUCCUCCGCCCCCGGCCCCGGCCCCGCGGCGGCGAGGCGCGUCGUCACGCGCCACGCGCCCGCGGCGGCGUCGCGCUCGGCGCGCACCACCUCGGCGCCGAAGCGCGGGGCGAUCCCGAAGGCGGCGGCAUAGGACUCCAUGUAGGCGACGAACUGGUGCUUGGUGGGGUACUUGGGGAAGCCCGCGGGGAAGCCCAUGAGCGGGAGCUCGCAGAAGCGCUUCGGGAGGUGGAGCUUCAGGCGGUCGUAGGUGCGGUGGCGCCACAGCGACGCGACGCAGCUCGACUUCUCGAGCACCGUCGAGGGGACGCCGAGCUCCGCGAGGCACGCCGCUGCGGCGAGCCCCGAGGGCCCCGCGCCGAUUAUGAUAGGCCCCGGGACCCAAACGCGCUUUUGCGAGGAGCCCAUGUGGUGUGGGGAAGCGCUUCUGCUCUCUUCGUCUCACUCUCUCUCUCUCUCUCUCUCUCUCUCCCCUCUGUUUUGGGUGUUCUGUUUUUGAAACGGGGGCGCUGUUACCACCUGUUUGUUCUCGGGCUUCCUUUUUCACUGUGCGAGGGUUUAUAGGAGUGAGGAGGGGGGUGGGUUUUGGAACUUGGAGUGUUGUGUGGUGUUGUGGCGUAGGAUGGAGGGGGUUUUCACUUGCAGAGGAUGAGCAGAUGCGAGUGUAUGAAGCGUAAGGACUAAGGCAAGGAUUUGGUCCACUCUAUGGUCUAUACAAGCAUUGUUUUAACCUCUGAGACUUGCACCACGCACAGUGAGAAAAGAGAGAGAGAGAGAGAGAGAGAGAGAGAGAGUGAGGGGGGAACAUUAAUUCAUGCGUGCUCCCGGUCCACCAUGCACCUCAUAAUGUGUACUUUUUUGCAGGUUUAAACCUCUACAUUUCUAUUAACUUAAAUUGAAUUUAAUCUCUUUUGAACUUAGAUAAAUGCACUAAAUUAGUCAUUUUCAUCACUUGAAAUGUUAAGUUCGUUAGAUGUAGAUGACGUGGUCGGCAUGUCGGUGUUUGCCCGCAGAAAACUUGGCACGAUCAUCCAAAAAGAUUAUCUAGCGCUAAACCAAACCUUAACAUGUAACUUAACACACAGUGUAAAUGUUACGCGUAAUUUUUUACUUCAAACUUUAGUUUCAGAUCAUCACCUGACAUGUAACAUUUUAAUUGAAUAGUUAUGCAAUUCAUGAAAAUAAGAAGUGCGAAAUACUGACCAUCCAUAGCACACAUAAUAAAGGAUUUAAUAAUUGAUACUUAAUAUUCUAAAUUUGAAAUCUAAUUAUUCCAUAUUUUCAGUGAGUGCAGUAUAUCUAUAAUCUAUAAACUUAAAUGAAAGCACAAUAUUUCUUGCCACGUGGCAAGUCACCCUUCAUCCCUUCAUCCUCAUAAAUAAAUACAUAAAUAAAUAAAUGAAACCAUUUCCUCUAUCUAAAUAUCAAAUUAACAAAAUAACACACCUGGUACUAACUAACUCUCCCUAUUUAUCCGCUAAUUGAUUUUAUUACUAAUAAUAUGGACGAUGUAGAUUCAUUAAACCACAAAGCAAUAGCGACAUUAAUCCCCAAUUUAAUGUCUAAUUAAUGCGUCCACCCAAUUUAAUCCUAUCUAAACCGUAAACCUAAAAUCCCAUCCAAAAGGUCCAACCCUUUGCAUUCCCUCCGCAAAAGCCUAAUAUAAUCGUAAACCAUAAAAACUCACGCAAAAGCCCCAUUCUCUCUUAUGCAUGUCAUGAAAAUGAAAGCCUACUUUGUUUCUUAUAAUAAAUUACAAUUUCCUUCAUUUAGCAA